rnacentral:lncRNA from 1 species
UUGACUUUAUUUGAGGGAGACGUACUUGGAGACAACAUUGAAUCUAUUAGCUAUGAUGUGAAAUUCGAGGACUCAAAAGAUGGAGGAUGUGUCGUCAAGUUCACCUCUGAGUAUAAUACAAAGGGUGAUUUUGUGCUAAAAGAAGUGGAUGUUAAUGUAGGCAAGGAACAAUCUUUUGUACUCUACAAGGCUUAUGCAGAUUACCUGAAUGCCAAUCCUCAUGUUUGUGCCUAAAUGUUUUCCAAUUAUGUCUUAACGUUGUCAAGAAUUUCUGUAUUUCUACAUAAAUGUUACUUUUGCCUUAAUAAAAUAAUUGUUCUGCUUUUCCAUUGAAGUGGUUUUAUUUUUAUUAUUAUUAUUUUUUUAAUCACAAUAUGUUGCAUAUUUAUUAACAUCGAAUAUAAAAUAUAGUAUAUAAUUAGGAGGAGGCUCGACCUGACCUUCCAACUAAAGUUGAAAACAUAGUUAUACUUUUUCAUCUUGGAAGGAGUACAAUGUAAGAUUUAAAGAAAGUAAACUGUAUUCACUCUAUUCAUACUUUCCAUCAUCUUUUAAUGAGUGGUCACUCUGCCUCAUCGCUAUAUUCAAACUUGCUACUUGAAGUUUGUCCGUUUCCCAUUGUCAUCGUUAUAUUCAAACUCGCCAAUUGAGAAUUUAAUUCCUGAAUGUUCAAAAUUUUCUAUGCUUAGCGAUAUAAUGAAGGGUUUUGUUAAACUAAAAUUAGGCUUGGCAUAGGGAAUUACCAAACACACACAUGGGAUCGACAUUUUUUAAUUCACACGGGAUCCACGUGCAAAUUGUGAGUGUCGAUCAAUUAUUAUGUCAACCAAUUCGAUCACUUUUUCUUAAUUCUACAGAAGAAUUUCAGAUACUCACAUGGAGAGUGGGCCCUAUGUAAAUAAAAUAAUUCAAAAAAUAAUCUGUCCACCCCAUACAGUGUAUUUUAUAAGGUGUCUGUAAAAAAUAAAAAAAAAAAAAAAGAGGAAAAAAUUACAUGAAUAAUCACUCAUUCUAUAAUGAAUGUGCCUGACUUAGCUGAGGCAACCACGUGCCACAUGUUUUAUCUUUGAGCACUUAAAUCUUCAUAUGAGUCGCCAACGAACUCAACCCAACCCAGAUCCCAAUCCGCCUAAGUCCCACCACCACCACUCAUCAUCUCCAUCUGAAAAAGGGUUGCCCGACUCGGUUCGAAAAAAGUCCGAGUCCUAUUUUUUUUUUGUCGUGCUUUUGCUCGGCCCAACUCGAGCCCGCAAAAAAAGCUCGGCCAUUUUAACCGGACCGAACCUAAGCCUAAACUUUAGGCUAGCGAGCCGACUCGUUUACAUCCGUACUAAUAACUCAAAUUUUUAAUGAAGAGUUGUAUUGAAAUAAAAUAUUCCAUAUUACAAUAUUUUUUAUAUUUUAGUCUUUUCGUAUGUCAACCUCAUUCAUACUCCAAAUUCUCCGAUUUUUUCAAAGUUUACAACAGAGAAAGAUUAUUUUUCUCGUAGAAUCGGUUUGCAAAAACGUCAAAAUAAGCAAAAGGACUUACAUAAUUUCAAUACCUCCACUGAAUUUCCUAGAAUUUAUCCAUAAUUGUUUUUUUUUUUUUUUCCAUUUUCGCGACACAACAUGGGGAUUUCAUUCCUGGCUUUUGCGAUAACCAAGCGUGGUGGCUUGGUUUAUCGAAGGAAGAGGCUGGUUGGGAAGGCGGUGAGAGAAGUGGAGGUGGUCGGGGACGAGGUGAGUUUGUUGUGGAAGAUGAAGAUUUAAAUUCUAUAUUUUUUUGGUAGACAGUGCCACAGUGGCCAGUGGCGAUGGCGAAGGUGGGGCUGGUGGGUAUUGAGGGGUGUGAUUGGCUCAAAACCUUUGUUAAAGGUUGAACCCUAACUUUAAGCGUCCUCCACCGCUCCUGUCUUAGAGUAUCAUGAGGGAGGUAAAUCGCAAGUUAUGCCUCAAAGGGUACAGGGUGGAAGGCUAUUUGUACAUUUACACUUACCCAAGAGUCAAAUCCAUAUUUCAGGAUUCAAACUCUUGACGCGACAGUCUCAAGCAAAAUUGGAUUUCUCCACCCUCUCCUUUUACCACUUGAAGAUGUGCCCUGGGAGCAGCUCAAAACCUUUAUUUGUCAAUAAUUCUAUUGCAUUAAAAUAAUAUUAUACAUAAAUUAAAUUUUUUUUUUAUUUUUAAUCAUACAUUUCUGCAUCUAUCACUACUUUUUAAUACACUUGAAAUUAAAGGGCACAAACAAAGUCUACUCGUUUGAUUCCCAUUAAUUUUCAUUCCAUUACAUUUUAUUUUUUUAUCUCCUAUUUUUAACCACACAAUCUUUCAUAAAAUAAUAUUACACGUAAAUUGAAAAUUUUUCCCUCUAUUUCAACCACUCAUUUUUUCAAAAAAUAAUAUUCCAUCCAUUAAUUUUUCCACGGAAUGAGGCCAGACGGGGCUAAAUCGCUGGUGGUGGACUUGAUUUGAAGGGGAUUUAUGGCUGUUUGUCAACAAUGGUGGCAAUGCAUACAGUUUAAAUUAGGAAAUGUCCAGCACCAGGCACCCUGGAAAUCCAGUCUAGCAGGGUUAUUUGAAUUAUGAUCAUCUAUUUUGGGUUUUGUGGGUAAAAAGAAAAAACAUCGUUUUCUUCUUAUUUGCUUCAUUUUUAUAUAUUUUAUUUAUUUAUUUGUGUUUAUAAAACUUUUAAUGGGAAAUAAAUGUCUUUUUAUACCACUUUAAAUAAAAAAUAAUUUACGAAAAAUGUUAUUAGGGAUGAAUCUUGUUAAUAAAUGAAAGGUUGAGAGUCGAUCGGUGAAUAAAAAAUUGAAUACAGACAAAAUUUCCAUAACCAGAAAGGUUGGGGACCCAAGCUGAAAUUUACCUUAAAAGAAAUCCUAGAAAACGUUGGAUUAUGUCCAAUUAAUUUUGAAUUCCAUGUUUCUCCGACAUGCUUAAAAAUCAAGGAUUGUAGGAUAUAUCCGAAGGAAUAAAAUAUUCAAAAUUUCCAAUUAAUUUCAUCAUUCAUGACUUUUAAGGUAAUAAGGAAAAAUAUAUUAAAAAAUUAGAAAUGACAAAUUCGGAGUUGUUGUGGAUGCACAGUUCACUCAUGAAUCAAGUUCUUAAAACACGUGAAGCUGGGAAUAGUGAUAAGCUGAGUUGACCCGGCUCACGAGCUUGCCUAUUAAGCUGGCUGAGCUCCUUUCUUAAACAAGCUCGAGAUUUUGCGCUUGUGAGUCAAGCCAUUACCUAACGGUUGGGCGUGGCUCAUGGCACAAAUUUUUAAAGAGAAAGUGAAGAUUGAUUUUUUAUUUUUAUACUUCAAGAUUUUAGAUAAGAUUGCUCAAAUGAAAAAUUAAGGUAGAUAAAUGCUUUGAUUCUAAACUUUAAUGGGAAUCGUUCUUUCUACUCAUAAAUUCAACACGCUAAUUUGACAAAUAAUCGUAACCUUUAACAUAAUUCAAUCUGACGCUCAAUAUUUUAUAGAUCUCAAGUGGUUAUAACAAGCUCUUUUAUGAUCUUAGUAAAAUACAUAUUGAGUAUUGAAUUCACUUAAAUUAAAUGUCACGAUUAUAUGUCAAAUAAAUGUGUCAAAUUUUUUAGUAGGAGAAACGCCCCAAACUUUGUUAAUAUGAAAUAUUAGUUUAGAAAAUUCAGUAAUUAAAGAAUAUAUUAUUGCAAGUGGGCCUCAAAAGCCGACUCAUGGCAGGCAAGGCAACCAAGCCCGUAAGCCGACUCACAAAACUCAUAAGCUUUCGAUGGUGAGCCCAUCAUAGCUUGCGACGCUAAAAAAUGAAACUCGACUCGACUAGCGGCUCGUCAAAAUUCAAUUCAACAACUUGUGAGCAUUUUCUCAUAAGUUGAACCAAGAAGGUGGUUGCUGGUCUUAAUUGCUACCCCAAAUAGUGGUGGCAAUGAACGGAUCCACCACUAGCUCGGCUUGUGGCUCGUUUGAGACGAGACAAGAUAAGUCAAGCCAUGGGUUCAUUUAUUAAGGGCCAAGCUCUUAGUUCGUCGGGUCGAGCUGAACUUAGCCGUUGAGCACCUUAAUUUUAUUUAUUUCUUUUUUAUAUGUAACUAAAAUGUGAAAAACCCUCUUUCUUUUCUCCGAACUUGGGACUGACUACUUAUUUUUUAAGCAAGUAGAGUAAAAAUUAUAUAUGAGCAAGUUGUUACGUGUAUAAUUUUUUUUUAAAUUUAAAUUAUUAUUGCAAAAAUAACAAAGUUUGAUUAUAUGAUGAAAUUAAAUAUCAUUUACCUGAUUACACGCAAUUUUCCUUAUACUUAUGUUGUAUUUGAAAAUGUGCGUUGUUUCAAUCCUUUAGACACAUCAUUGCUUCCAAAAUAUUUAUUUUUUCAGUAGGUUUUUGGCCUCAGACAAAGUUCUAUUACCUGCAUUGUGGACUUCGAAACUAUAGUCCUAAACAAAGUGUUAGUAAAUCUUUUGCAAUGGCAGAACUAAUAGAGUAUUAUCAUUCAUUUUUUGGUCAAAAAUCAAGUAAAUCAAAACAAAUGGCAUCAACGGGUUCUACGCUCAUAAGCAUUUCAUGAUUAACAUAUCUAACUAAUUCAGCAAGCAUUCCAAUAUGACUUGCGUCCUAUGUUGGAUUAUACGUAGGAGACAUACUAGAAAAAGAAUCUUAUACUUCAUAUCUUUCAUCCCUAAUACCUUCAAAUAAAUUCAAUAGUUCUACAUCAUCUUCUUCAAGAUUAGCAGAAGUGGUGGGCAGAAGGUGUACAACUAAUAUUUGCACCCCAUCGGGAUGCAUACAAUUCGUGCAUAAAAGUUAAAGUGUUUUCUAAAUUCGAAUAAGUAAUACGUUAGUCAAAAUUUAAACAAGUGAUUUUUAGAAUAACAUAUUUAUUGCCUUUUAAAUUGUACUUGGAAUCCAUUAUGCAUUCUAUAGAAAAUAAAAUAGGUAAGUGUUUCCAAUAUUUUUGAAAGGGUAAUUGUCACAAAACGUCCAUACCUUUCGAAGUUAUUGUGAAAAACGUCCACACCUUUCAUUUUUUAACAUUUUUGCCCUUAUUUCAACCUUUCGUUGCGUUGAAAAUCCUUUUCACUGUUUUAAAAUAUAAAAUGACCAUUAUACCCUCUUAUUUAAAACAAAAAAUAAAAAAGAAAUGAUAAAUAAAAUACAAAUUGCAAUCAUACUCACAAAUGUUUUGAAAGAAUGUAAAUGAGUCCAAUAAAUUAUUAAAAUAUCAAAAAAUUAAAAAAAAAUUAUCUUUCUUUUCUCCUCCUCUAGUCCUCCUCCUCCCUCCUCCUCCUCUUCCACCACCAAAACUCCGUCCCCGGCCACCUUGGACACCAGAUCAAUAUACCACCUUAAAGCCCUCAAUAACCCUACUGAGAUCAAUUAAUAAAAGUUAAAUUUGGGUCCCAAAAUUCAAUAGAAUAGUUAUUUCCCAUAAUAAAUAAACCAAAAAACUUGUUGCUUACAUGUUUCUGUGGUUCCAUUACAUACAUCGCCUCCACCGACACCGAAAAAAUACCAUCGCCUACGCCUGUCAACUACCAAAAGGCAGUUCAAAACCAUAGGUCAGUCACACACAGAAUUUAUGCAUAAAGACCCAUUCAAUAGUGGCCCAUAUCUCUAUUUUUCUCUAUCCAAAAGCAGAGAAAAGUUAUUUUUUGUAGAUAAUUUUCAGUAGAAAGUGGGAAUUAGGAAUUGAAGUGCAGGGGGAGUUCUUGAAUUGUCCGGAAGAAUGUGAAAUGUUGAAAGUGAAUCUGUGUUGGAAUUAAUUUUUUUCUUCUACGGAUCUAGAAAUUUGAAUUUCCAAAUCUUGGGUUUUGUUUUGAAUCUUUGUUUUUUCGUGUGGGUUCAUUUGUUCUUAAUGGCUACUGCUUUUCCUUUGCCAGUCACUGUUGCUCCCACUCCCAAGGUGGCCGGAGGGUGGAGGAGGAGGGGCAGGAGGAGAGAAAAGAAAGAUAUAUAUAUUUUUUAAAAUUUUUAAUAUUUUAAUAAUUUAUUGGACUCAUUUACAUUCUUUCAAAACGUUUGGGAGUAUGAUUGCAAUUUGUACUUUAUUUCUCAUUUCUUUUUUUGUUUUUUGUUUUAAAUAAGAGAGUAUAAUGAACAAUUUACAUUCUAAAACAGUGAAAAGGACCUUCAGUAACAAAAGGUUGAAAUAAGGGUAAAAAUGUCAAAAAAUGAAAGGUAUGGACGUUUUCCACAAUAACCUUGAAAGGUAGGGACGUUUUGCGCUAAUUACCCAUUUUUUAAACUUUAAUUCCAUAGAAAAUAAUAUUUUUAUAGAAAGGGGUAAUUGACACAAAACGUCCCUACCUUUAAGGUUUAUUGUGGAAAACGUCAUCACCUUUUAUUUUUCGACAUUUUUGCCCUUAUUUCCACAUUUCUUUACGGAAAACAUCAUUUUCAUCAUUUUUUAAUGUAAAAUGAUCAAAAUACCCUCUUAUUUAAAUAAAACCCAAAAAUAAAUAAAAGAAAAAUAAAGAAAAAAUUACAAUCUUACUCCUAAAUAUUUUAAAAACUGCAAGUGAGUCCAAAUAGUUAUUAAAAGAUCUAAUAGCACAAAACGUCCUUACGUUUGAUCUAUAGUAUGAAAAACAUCCAUACGUUUCAAAUUGGUGAAAGAUAUGUUUUCCGCAAUGAAAUGUGGAAAUAGGAAUGAAAAUGUAAAAAAAUUGAAAAGUUGGGACGUUUUUCUGCAAGAAGUGUCAAACAUAAAGAUAUUUUUACUAUUAGUCCUUAUUAAAAUAUUAAAAUUAACAAAAACUCUCUCUUUUCCCCUCUCUCCCUCUCCCUCUCUUCUCUUCUCUCCAAAUGGACCAAUCACCUUAGAAGCCAAAAAACUCCAGCAAACCACCAUCCAAACUGAUGGACUACCAUACCACCGAAAAGCCCUCACUUCCUUCUACUCAUACCACCCACUCAUACCGCCCAACAUCCAAUCUUGAAACCUUCAUGCCAAUAAAUUUGUUAGAAAUUGCAAGCCAAAAUACCCAACUCGCGAAUGUAAAUACUGAUGGCAUCACCUAUUUCGAAGAGAUCCAUGCCAUUUCUAACACACCAAUUGACUAUACUCACUAUGGCGCCUCUCUUCAUGGUUUUAAAAUAUCAGCAGAUAGUUCAACGGUAUAGAGGUUCGACGGUUUGGACGAUGAUUAAUCGAAAUUUUUUCACUUCUAAUGAGACAGUCCUAUUUAGAGAAGAAGAGAAGAGAGAUAGUAUUUUUUUUCUUUCAAAUAUUUUAAUAAGGCCUAAUAGCAAAAAAAAAUCCUUAUGUUUGACACUUCUUGAGGAAAAUGUGCAUACAUUUCAAUUUUUUUCAGUUUUCAUCCCUAUCUUCAUGUUUCAUUGCUGAAAACGUCCAUUUCACCAAUUUGAAACGUAGGGACGUUUUUCACACUAUAGACCAAAUGUAGGGACAUUUUGUGCUAUUAGACCUUUUAAUAAUUAUUUGACUUACUUGCACUUUUUAAAACAUUUAAGAGUAAGAUUGUAAUUUAUUCUUUAUUUUUCUUUUCUUUCUUUGGAUUUUAUUUAAAUGGGAGGGUAUUUUAGUCAUUUUACAUUAAAAAUGGUGAAAAUGACUUUUUUGCAAAGAAAUGUGGAAAUAAAGGCAAAAAUAUCAAAAAAUAAAAGGUGAGAAUGUUUUCCACAAUAAGCCUUAAAGAUAGGGACGUUUGUGCCAAUUACCAAAUAAAAAGUGAGAUUGUUUUUGUCUUUUUGAAAUCAAGAACUCAUGAACUAGUGGAGUAGUAUACCCCAGAUAAGAUAGUUGUGGGGACAUUAAAACUUAUCAAAAAAUUAAAAAUAAAUCACUCUAAAGGCUAGUUUCCAAUGAAAAUCAAUCAAAACAUAAUCAUCAUCAUUUCUUACAUUCUUAGAGUUAUGAAAUUCAGUAAUUAAAUGUUCAUAUCCUUCGGUUUAAUAAUAAUAAGUGGAGUUGCAUAAUGUCCUUCGUCAUUCACAAAUUUUUGGAAUCUUGGCCAUAUUAUGCACAAAGUUCCUUGUUUCAUACUUAUAUAUAUAUAAGAGAGAGAGAGAGAGAGUUAUGAAAUUCAGUAAUUAAAUGUUCAUAUCCUUCGGUUUAAUAAUAAUAAGUGGAGUUGCAUAAUGUCCUUCGUCAUUCACAAAUUUUUGGAAUCUUGGCCAUAUUAUGCACAAAGUUCCUUGUUUCAUACUUAUAUAUAUAUAAGAGAGAGAGAGAGAGAGUUAUGAAAUUCAGUAAUUAAAUGUUCAUAUCCUUCGGAUGAUUUUAAUAAUAAUAAGUGGAGUUGCAUAGUGUCCUUCGUCAUUUACAAAUUUUUGGAAUCUGGGCCAUAUUAUGUUCAAAGUUCCUUGUUUCAUACUUAGUGAUAUGGUUAUAUAUAUUUUAUCCAACCCUAAUUCUAUCGAUUUACUCCUUAGUUGUUUCAUACUAAUUUGCACAACUAAAUUAAAAAUGUGACACGCACAAUGCACAUGAAACAAAAGCUACUAGAAUCAAGAUUAAACACUUUUCAAAGUUUAUCAAUUACAACCUUAUUAACGCUAGCAUUGUCAAACGUAAAAGAAUGAAUUUUACUUUCACAACGAUAUUCUUUAAUAAUUUGCAUGAUAGAGUUAAGAAUAAUUGUUAGUAUUAUAAGGAAUUCAAUUAUCUUAAAAACAAUAAUUUUUUUUUAUGCAUUACUCAAAGUGUAUCGAUGUAGUGUGCAAUUGCUGCUACAUAACCUUUUUUCUAAUUUAUACCUUCCAAUAAAUCUGAAAUAAAAGUAAUCAAUUGGUUCUUGCUUCUAUCGAAAAUAGUUGAUAGUAUUAUUAUGAAGAGUAUUUCAACUUAUCCCUACAUAUUUCGACUGAAGAUAUUUUUUUACAAGUGUUGUGAGAUGUUUAUUGUCCACUAUGUUUAACGAAGACUCACCAAUAACAAUGAAAUUGACCAUUCUACCAUGAGUUCUUUCCUCCGAAUACAUCCAUGUACUUGGUGUUGAAGUUGCACCGCUACCAAAAAAAUGAGUACCAAAGGCUAGUUAUGUUUGAGAUCCACCAACGAGUCUAUAUGUUUCGCCAUACAUUUGGUAUAGUGAUAAUUGAGGUGGGUAGUAAUGAUACCCUAUUUUCCAGGCCAAUCGUUGUUGGCAAUUUUUUAUUCACUACUUUAAACUCUUGACUUUCACACCCCUCUUGUAUUGGGAACUUACAUUUUUGAUUUGCUAGUCUCUUCAUCGAUGUUGUUGGGUUUUUUGAUACCCAAUAAUUCAGACGAUGAUUUAAAAUAGUUGUCGGAUUAUUUAUCGACACCAUGGACUUGGCUCAGCUCGGAAACGAACUACACUUUUGGAUGGCUCGGGUUUGGGUUGGAUGAUUAUUUGGUUAGUUGGACCAUUUAGUGAUUAAUAUGGAGUUGAAUAUUAGCCCAUUAGUUUAGGGUAAUUGGUAGCCCUCUUAGUGAACCCUAGGCCUAAUUGAAGUGACCUAAACUAACCUAUUUAUAUAUGUAUUUAUCUCCAAGCAGUUUUGUGGUGGUGUAUGUGUGUUGUAGCAAUGGAGAGGAGAGUCGAGAGAAGAGAGGCAACCGAAAGAGAUGAAAGCCAUGUGAAGUUGUGAGUAAGAUUUAACCACUAUUCUUCUUCCUCUCCAUACCUUUGUGGAUUGCUAACACCACCAUCCUUCUCUUUUGUGGGGUUAGAGAGAAAGAGAGCAGUCUAAAGUGAAGGUGAAAGUCUUGGGUUGAGCCGAGAUAAAUCGGUGUUCGUGAGAGAAAGAGAGCAGUCCAAAGUAAAGGUGAAACUAUUGGGUUGAGCCGAGAUAAAUCGGUGUUCGUUUGGUUAUUUUCUAAGCUCGAAAUCAAGAUUUAUAGAGGAAUUUCCGCUACAAAUGGUAUCAGAGCUUGUGUUGUUGAUAAAUCUGUGAUUUUGGGGGCUAAAAAUGGGCUGGAAGUGGUCGGAAACGGAUCUGGAAAUCAGAGGCAGAAACUGUCCAGUUUUUUUAAUUUCUACCGAAUCUGUUUUGGCGUUUUCUGGUGAAACCAAAAGGAGUUUGGCAAAAUGGACACCACCGGUGGACUGUACAAGCGAAGAAGAAGUCAAAAGGGUGACAGGUCGAUGGCGCGUGGACGGCGCGAUGCGGCGCGUGGGGUUUCUGUUAAUGGCGCGUCUUUCUGAAUCCGGCGAAGUGGUCUUCAGACAGAAUCUUCCCCAUGACGAGAUGGACCCUACAGUGUUUUCAGAUUUCAGUUUGGAGCAAUACAGUGAAAGUUGGACGAUUUUGCCCUUGGACGUUCGGGUGCCAGGUGCUGUUUUCGUGUUGCUAUGGUUGCUGAUGACUUUAGGAUGAAUAGUAAUAGUCCCGAAGUAGUGAAUUCACGUCUCGAGAUAUUUACGGACCUUCAGACGUGGUCUGCUCGGUAUCGUAUUCUUUGCUUUUUAUUAUUGCAGUUAAAAUAAAUGUGUAGAGUAGUUUAUUUUUUGCAUUAGAGGUCAUCGUGUGGGGUGACAUUAGGUUUGGGGUUACCAUGGAGGGGUAACCAUUGCCUGUUACUAGACAUAGGAAUUAUUUGUUAAUUAUUUGCCUUAAAUUCUUUGUGAAUUUGCUGUCAAUUUUUCUAAAUUAUUAGAAUUGCAUGUGGCCUUAGGAAAGUUUACUAGACUAUUAUAUGUGAAUUAUGUUCAUACUUUACUUGUGGUCAUUAUUUGGCAUUGGUGGCAAAUGUAGGUCUAAGGUAAGUGCGAAAAAUAACAUAUAUUUUAACUGUGGCAAAAUCUGGACAUAGUUGAAAGACAUUGUUCUAGAAUGAUAAUAAAAGGAAAAAUGAGAAUAGAGAUAAGGCGAAUGUGGCUUUAGGGUCGAGUAGUAAUCCUAGUAAGGUUUAUUGAGAAAAUAAACCUGGUUCUUGCAUUGCAUCUGUAUGUAAUCCUUUUUGCAUGUAUUUGGUCACUUAAUUCUGUUGUAAUGUUGAUGUUACACUUUCAAUAUGUUUGAUGUGUGUAAUUGCAUGAGUUAGAGUGACUUAUUACUUUGUGUAAUAUGUUUACAUGCAUAGUGGGUUAAGUUUUGUGGUGUACUCUAUUUGCUCUGUGAGUGGCGUGAAAGUGUGGUAGUGAGAAGAAAGUUGGGUAGCCGUUUCUCUCCUUUAUCUUUGUGAGCCUAUGUGGUUUGUGAGAUUAUGUGAGGCAGCUAUGUUAGGGUUACCUUCUUUAUCUUUGUGAUCCUUCUUUGUGAGUGUUGUGAAGUAACCAACUUUUUCUUCGAUUCUUUUUGAGAGUACCACCUUCACUAUUUUCUUUGUGAAUUUUUUGGGAGCAUUGGUGAGUGGAUUAACCUUCGUGGUCACCAAAAGGUGUUAUUUUGCCAUAGUGAGUUUGAGAUGUAUUAGCAGUGAGUUGGAUGUCUUUUGGUAAGCUGGAGUAUAGAUGCCUAGAGGUACAUGGUGAUUUGUACCGAGGGAUGUGGAGUGUGACAUUUGGAUCACGAGUGGAGAUGUGAUUAAAUGUGUAGAAUCCUUUAUCUGUGAAAGAAACUCUGUACAGGUAGAGUGUGAAAGAGGCACUUCUAUCACUUCUGUAAGGUGGAGUCCCAUUAUCCACAUAGGUUGGGAGAAGUGAUGUGGUGAUAGAGGAUUAUCCCGAAAGUUUAGUAUCUAUUGUGACUUACCAGUUAGACAUGAGUUAAGUUAUUGGUUUAGUGAGCAUGGUGGGCGAUGAGAGGAGAUAUGUGUUCUCGAGGUGGGAGUAACACGGAAUGAGAUAGGAUAAGUGUGGUGAGAUCUUUUCUUAGGGUCAUUUAUGCAUGUGUUGCAUAUGUGGUUGACCAUGGUUUGAUUAACUAGGUGUUAAUCUGUGGUUCUGUGUGAACGUGAUUUUGAAAAGAUCUAUAUGUGUGUUAUCCUAUAUAUAUCUUCAUCACAUGAUAGUUUGUUCAUUGUGAAUACUUGUUUCUACUUGAGUAUUUUUGACCUUAGCACCGGUGAGUACAUGGAGCAAGUAUGGUAUGUGUUUCGGUUCGAAACACGAGAUAAUGUCUGUUAUUCUAAUUUUAUUGGAUUAUCUUGAUUGUGCAAGUAUAAAUUGUGUGUUUUGGUUGCUUGCAGAUUAUUGGGCAUCAAGGUGGAGAUUGUUGGAUUUUUUGAUACCUAAUAAUCCGGGUAAUGAUUUAAAACAGUUGUCAGAUUAUUUAUCGACACCAUGGACUUGGCUCGGCUCGGAGACGAACUACACUUUUGGAUGGCUUGGGUUUGGGUUGGAUGAUUAUUUGGUUAGUUGGACCAUUUAGUGAUUAAUAUGGAGUUGAAUAUUAGCCCAUCAGUUUAGGUUAAUUGGUAGCCCUCUUAGUGAACCCUAGGCCCAAUUGGAGUGACCUAAACUAACCUAUAUAUAUAUAUAUAUAUAUGUAUUUAUCUCCAAGCCCUUUUGUGGUGGUGUAUGUGUGUUGUAGCAAUGGAGAGGAGAGUCGAGAGAACAGAGGCAACCGAGAGAGAUGAAAGCCAUGUGAAGUUGUGAGUAAGAUUCAACCACAGUUCUUCUUCCUCUCCAUACCUUUGUGGAUUGCUAACACCACCACCCUUCUCCUUUGUGGGGUUAGAGAGAAAGAGAGCAGUUCAAAGUGAAAGUGAAAGUGAAAGUCUUGGGUCGAGCCGAGGUAAACCGGUAUUCGUUUGGUUGUUUUCUAAGCCCGGAAUCAAGAUUUAUAGAAGGAUUUCCGCUACAGAUGUCAUCCAAAUAAAUUGAAUUACUACUUCCAUGAGCAUCUUCAACGCUCAUUGGCCCCAUUCCCAGCAAAUUGUUGGGGAUGGGGACAUCUUUGAGAUCGACAAAGUUGAUUGGAACAUUUGAAUUGUGAUGUUGUAAGUGAUUUGCCAUCAACAAGCCCCCAAUAAAAUUCCAAAGUUCUAUGUGUAACAUGUAAUAAAAAUAUAGAAUGACAAGAACGUAGAUUGUAGUGUAGAGAAUAAAGAUAAAAUUUAUUAACGUAUAGUAUAGAGAAUGAAUUGAGAAAAUAUAUAUAAUAGAAAUGAAAUUCGAAUUAAUAAAAAUUAUAGAAUGUAUGUGAAUUAUUAGUAAUUAAUGUUGUGUAUGUAAUAUAAUUGCAGAGAACAGAAGAAUUGUAGAAUAAUUGAAUAAUGAAUGAAUUAUUAUAGAGAGUAAGAGAGAGUGGAGAGAUUGUUGAGUUGAGAAAAUUGGUGAAGCAAAUGAUGUAUUUACAGAGUAAGAAAAAUAAAAUAAAAAAUUCAGAUACAGUUGGGGACGGACUCUUUUAAAGGUUUGUGACCGUUUAAAUGAAGAAAAAUGAUCUUUGUUUGGCUCGUGAGACACGCGAUAGCUUGGCUCGCGGGCAUGCCUAUUUUGGCAAGCCAAGCAAGCUUAGGCUUGUCUGUCGAAACGAGUUCAAACCAUCCAAGGGUUGAGCUUUGCGAACCAAGACGAUGCGAUUGCCACCUCCAAUCCGAAAUGAGGAAUUCAUUGAAACACGAACUCUAGAAUUCAAAUUUUUUUGUGAAAGUCUUGAGUUGAAGUUGAUAAUCAUUGUAAAUACUCCAUCAUUUAAAGUGUUAUUCCGUCAACAACAUGUUUCAAAUGGAAGCUUGAUCCUCUAAAUAAUCUGAAAAAUUUAGAAAGCCAACAAAUUAGAAAUUUCAAUUAAAAAAAAAAACGGUGUUUCCUCAUUUAUCUUAACAAAGAAUAUUAUUUUCUGGACUCAUUUCUUUUCAUUUCACCAUUAAAGAAUAUGAAAGAUAUUUAUGACUAUUCCAUGAUAUCCUUUUCUUGACCCAAAUUCUAUGUAUGAAAGUUAUCUUUUAAGGUCUCAAUUAUCUAUAAUUGGUGAGUUAAUUAUUCCGAUGGCCACUGAACUUAGGUCCAUAUCUUUUAUUGGUCACUAAAGUUUAAAAUGUCGAGUUUUGGUCACUGAACUUAGGUUCAUAUUUUCGAUUGUUCACUAAAGUUUAAAAUGUCGAAUUUUGACCACUGAAUUUUCAAAAAUGUUCUACAUUCCUUACUGAACUUUGAAAAAUAUUGCAGAUUACUCAUUGAACUUUAAAAAAUGUUGUACAUUAUUCACUGUAAACUCGAUAUUUUUCAAAGUUCAAAAGUUAUAUUAGUGAGUAACGUACGACAUAUUCCAAAAUUCAAUGGUCAAAAUUUGACAUUUUAAAUUUCAGUGAGCAAUCUAAGAUAUGAACCUAAGUUCAGUGAGCAAUCGAAGACAUAGAUCUAAGUUUAGUGACCAAAACACGAUAUUUUAAACUUCAGUGACCAAUCAAAAAUAAUGACCUAAAUUCAAUGACCAUUAGAACAAUUAUCUUGCAAUUGGUUGAUGAAAAUUGACUGAGAAACUGCAAUCAUGAAACACUAUUGCGUAUCCUUGACAAUUGACUAGAAGAAACUCAGGGAAAAAAACAAAAAUAAAUAAUAAAGUAAAAUUAAUCAUAAUAAAAUUUUUGGCUAAGCUUAAAAAAUUUACUUAUACGUAAAUAAGUAAUUUUUAGACUAGUUAAAAUUUUCAAUAAUCCUGCACGCAGAAUUAUUUCAACAGAAGAAAAACAGGAUACUCAUAUGGGGUGGAACUCAUGUGAGUUUUAUAUUGGAAAAAAAACACACUACCCAUCCCGUGUAUGUGUGUGUAUUUUGAAUUUCUUUAUAGAUUGUGUUCAAUAAUCCCUGUACCCAUAGCAACACUAAAAUUUUUUGGUAAAAGUUGAAAGCUAGUUGCUAGAUAAAAGUUAUUUUUGAGAAGUAUAAUUUUUAAAACUGAGUUAUCCAUGCAUAACUUGAAUACACAGCCUCACUUAAAAAGCAUUUUUGGCUAAGUUAAAAAAUGUUAUUUAUAAUUAAAUAAAUAAGCUUUUUUUAGAAUAAUUUAAAAGUUGAAAAAGUGUUCUUAUUGAUAAGUAAAAGUUAUUUUCUAAAAAUGUAAUCUUUACAUUAAACUGAGUUAUCCGUACAAAUUUGAACACCUAAUCUCCCUAAAAAAUAACUUACUUUUUUUUUUUUUUUUUAAACUUAGGCACACAUACCCUUGAACUGAGCUAAAUACUGAGCCAAACAUGUUUUCUUUUUCUUAAUUUUAAGGUAAAAACAAAUAAUUUUCAUACGUGACUCUUAAAUCUUAGUAUCGUAACAAUUCUAAUAAAAAAACUAAUUUUUUUAGCAAAAUCAAACAAGAACUAAAGUUUAUAUAUGUAUAUGAAAUGUGUGGUUUAAGAGUUAAUAAAAGUGGUAAAUUUCAUGAAAUGCGUGAUUAAAAUUAAUUGUUGAUUUUGACUCACAUUUUAUUAUGAUUGAAGCAAGAUAAUUGCAAAAUGAAAUAAAUCAAUCACAAACAAGAAUAUCUAGACUUUACGUGAAAAUUCAAGAUAGAAAAAAUCACAGACAGAAGAGGAGGAUUCACUAUAUCAAAAUCAAGAUCAAUGAUUGUUGUACAAUGAAACUUUUAUGUAAUGGUGUGUACGCAUACAUAUAAGUUGCGCAUUCUACUCUCGUUCGACUCCCAUUAUUUCAAAUUAAAAAUUUUCUCUAUCUUAUUUCUAAUCACACAAUCUUUCAUAAAAUAAUAUUAUACGUAAAUAAAAAAAACAUUUCUUUCUUUUUCAAAUACAUAUUCUCCAAAAACAUAAUAUUCCAAAAAUAAUAAUACCAAAUAAUUAAGGUCAAAUGGCACUUCUAAUUGCUCUGUCCAAUUAAAAAGUGAAUUUUUUGUAGGGUUUUGUCGUCAUUUUUUAUCCCGCAAAUGGAUGGAUCGUAAUAAGUAGUAAAGUGGACAUUUUGAAUCCGAAUUAUCGUUCCCACGAGAACUAUACAUUAAUACUCAAAUUAUUACUUCUGGCUUCUAUUUGACGAAGAUAAACGAGAACAAUGAUUAAAAGUGAUUUUUAUUAUAACUACUUAAAAGUUCGUGAGUAUAACAUAAAAUGAGUGAGAAUUCAAAUAAUAAUUGGGCAUUAGGGUGGAAUAACUUCACCUAUUAGUCACAUUUACUUCUAAUAUCGAGAUUCAUAAAAUUUAAAGUAGUGUUUGGUCGAAUUCUUCUACGGUAUUCAAUUUACCACCAUCGAGUUCUCAUUGAGCCUAUUUAAAUAAUUUAAUUCCAUAUCUGUAUGCGAAUCAACAUUAUUUAAACGAAAUAAUAGUUCUAAGAAUUCAUAUAGAACCGCAGCAAUUAAUAUAGGUAUCUCUGCACGUUAUAUUAAUUUACCAAAUUUUAAUAUGUGGUCUAAACAAAAAUCCACAUCUCUACGCAAUUAUUGUUCACGAAAUCAUUGAAUAAUUGGCCAGAAAAUUCAAAGCAUUAAUAACAUAAUUAAAAUCCACAUAUGAAAUUAUAACGGACAAGAAUCUCAAAUAAAAGAAAUAAAGGUUCUCAAAUCAGUUAUAUUGUUCGCCCUAAAAUCAGAUUAGCUCCUCAUAUUAAUAAAAGAAAAAUAAGAAAUUAUUAUGAAAGACAUCAUCGGGUUUUGAAUAAGAAUGUAGAAUAAGAAAUCAAUCUUGCACCAAGAUAUUUUUUCUCUUUCAAUUUAUGCUUCAACCCUUGAAUUGCUUGUUCUCCUCUUGAAUUCUUCUUUUUUUUAUUUUUGAUUCUCCAAUUAUAUAUCUUACCUCUCAAUCUGUGAAGAAGAGUCCCCCCAAAAGUGUGAGAAAGAUGUAUUUAUAGAUGCCUCCUCCGUUUGUGUAGAAAGUAUGGUUUUUAUGGACUUCAAAACGGCCCAAAAACGCGUUCUAAACAAUCCCGACGCAGUGCCUAAGCGCUACGUCUUUAGAGCCUAGGUGCUGACGAUAGCGCUUGGGUGCUAUGAUUGCAGCGCAUAAGCGUGGUCUCUCGAGUUCAAGUUUCAUUUUUUUAAGUUUCGUAGCGCCUAGGCGCUACAAAUGCAGCGCCUAAGCGCUUUUUUUUUCCUCCAAUUUCCUUAUUUUUGAUCUUUUCAUCCGCUUUAAUUCCCAUUUUUGCAUCGACUUUCCUAAUCUUCAAAACAAAACUAACAAACACAUUAAAAGCGUUCUAUACUUAUAAGAUCUAGCAAAUAAUCAAGAUAAAAUUGUGCAAAAUUUAUGAGCCAAACAAAUUCAUCAAAUAUCCCCAAACUUAACCGUUUACUAGUUCUCGAGCAAACAAACACACCAAACAAUAAAAUCAUCCAAGGACGAUACACACUAGCAUGCAAAAGAUAAUUGGUUGGACAAUCGAAUUUUUUACUUCAGGAUUUGAGAUUUUGAUUUUAUUCCACAAACAUGCUUCAAGUCACAAUACCAAACCAAUAUCUACUCUUUCAGUGCAGAACUGACAUAUGUGUGUGUGAAGAAUUAAGAAAUCAACCAUGAUUACAAAAGUUGCUUCAAUUUCCGUCCCUCUGUGGUCAAAUAUACCAUACACUUCUCGUAAGAUUCAUGUAGCCCCAAACUUAUACUUUUUCACUCAUUCCCAGUGUGUAACCUAAGGUUGAAUAUUUCAUUACUAUCCUCACCCUCUCGAGUUCAGGUGGAUGUUACUAAUUGCAAGUCAACACUUAAGUGAACAGGGAUUCUCCAAUUAUUCGAUUGCUUUGACCGCCACGACUUAACUAGCUAAUUAUCUUGCAUCAAAAGGAAAAUGUUCUCAAAUAAAUGUUAGGGCUUAAUUAAGAUAUUUAGUGCUUUUGCUCUUUUCAUGCACUUUUUUUUUACAAGUUAUUUUAUUUAUUUAUUCUCUCCAUUAAGUUUUCUAGAUGACCUAUGUAGCAGGCUUUAGGCCAUGACUCCCAAAUCAGAUGAUUUUAGGGCACCAGAUUUUAAACACCCUUACAGGCUUAUUGGCCUGAGUCAAAAAGGUUUCAAAGAGAACAAAUUUUUUUUUUUCAAGUGCAACUUCAUCUCUGAUUGCUUUUUGAAUGACUCCUAUAGCGAGCUUUAAGUCGAUGACUCCCAAGUCAGACGACUUUAGGGCACCAGGUUUUAAGAUACCUUUAUAAACUUAAUCACUCUAGUCAUAAAGGUUUCAGAGAAAUGAUUAAAAUUUUCAAAUGUAUAUGCCUCGAUUAGUGCAAUGCCCCUUAUCACACACUUAUUCAAAAAAAUCGACUUCUAACUUGAGACUCUCACCUAGUUUUAUCAUGUUAAUCUACGACAAUCCAUACAUAAGUUUUUACACAUGGAAUCCAAAUUCACAUCCGCAUCUAUCGACAACUGUAAAGUCACCGUCAAACUAUGCUAACUUUGGUCUGAGGAUAAAUAACUUACUUAGUUUAGGUAAAGCAUUUAUAUCCAAUUAAAUCAACCUAUCUAACAAAUGAAUCAACUCGUUUCAUCACAUUUUUAGACUCAAUUCUGGUGCACUUAUAAUAUCGAGUUUUCAAUGUUAAGUUUCAAUCAAUCUAGUAUGCAUCAUAUCCACAGUUCAUAAAUUAAUACCAAAUCUCAAAAUUAAUUGUAAGCCAAAAUGUCCAACUCAAAAAAUUUUAGGUAGGCAAUUAAUAAUAAUACACUUCACUCUCCCAAAUUUAAACUAAACAUUGUCCUCAAUGUUAAAUUUAAAGGAAAAUGAGGACUUCCUUGAAAUGUUAGUAUUGCCUAUGAUAUUGUGGUGUCUUGGUGUUGCAUUUGAUCGACUCUUCUUCCACAUUCUCCCCCAAACUUGAGAUUUGUCCCAUUUUCUCCAGGUCAAUGUUGGUUUAAGUAUUCCGCGACGUCAUGUUCCUGAAAAAUUAGAUUUGAGAAAUUAAACUCAUGGAACAAGGGUUACUUAGUUCAAACAUCUAAUAACCAACUUAAUUACUCAAUGACCUAAGGGUAAACGGGAUAUGGGUAAUGUCUCCUAAAUAGACUAAUAAACUAAACUAUCUUAUAACUUGAAAUUAAAAUAAAUAAAACAAAAAGAAAGCUUGGGUUGCCUCCCAAGAAAUGCUUCUUUUAAGUCAUUAGCUAGACUUUUGCACAAGUUUUCAUGGCACUUUGAAUAUGGUUUUGGAGCUCCUGCUCAGCUUGCUUAAUUUGACUUUGUUCCAUAUCUCGUACAUUUUCCAAACUCUUACAUUUACCUUUUGAAUACGAUAUGACCUGCCUAAAUUGUCUAUUUCGUACUCAAUCAAAUAUACUGCAAUCUUUUCAUCAUCCUUAAUCACAAAUUCAAUGAAGUUAGAAGUUUGCACGCUGAUCCCAUCUUCAUUGAAUGCAACUAAUUCAUCUGACUCCUUCACGACUAAUUUCUUGAUUUCCACCUGUUCUACAUCUUUAGUCGUUAGUUCCUCGGGUUGAAUGAUGAAGAGAUCCUCCGUUGGCAUGUUAUUCGGCUCGUCCAGAGUUAUUUGAUCUUCAAUCUUUUUACAUCUUUGUAUGAUGAUGUCUCCAGUAAUUAUUUUAUUGUAAUCAAAAUAUUCUUCAUAUGGAUAACGUUCUCUCACUUCCACUGGAGUUGCCAAAUAUGAGCAAUUUUUAGUAUAAUGAGAAACACCACAACAUUCACAUAUCAGUCUGAUCUCUAGAUAAACAAUUGAUUUGAUGUUUAAUCCCUUUGGCCAACCAUCCUUACCAAAUUCGAUAGGCUGAUUAUAUCCCAACCUUUUAAGUUCUUAUCUGACCAGGAAUUCUCCAAAGAGCAUGUCAUCUUCUUUCAAGUCGGAAUUAAUCAUUAUGAAAUUAAACCUCUUGCUUCUUCUUAUUUCCUGUAAAAAAAGAAAAAAGAAAAAGAAAAGAUGGAUCAAUUGAACAAAAAAAGAAAAAGAAAAGAAAGAAAAAAAAGGAAAAAAAUCAAACAGAAGUAAGAAAUAAAUAAACCAAUAUUAAAGAAAAUAGUCCCUGGCAACGGCGCCAAAAGCUUGUUGUCAAUUUUUAUCCCGCAAGUGGACAGAUCAUAUAAGUAGUAAAGUGGACCUUUUGAGUUCGAAUUAUCGUUUCCACGAGAACUAUACCUUAAUACUCAAUUUAUUAUUUCUAACUUCUAUUUGAUGAAAAUAAACGAGAACAAUGAUUAAAAGUUAUUUUUAUUCUAACUACUUAAAAGUUCGUGGGGGUACAACAGAAAAUGAGUGAGAAUUUAAAUAAUAAUUAGGUAUUAGGGCAGAAUAACUUCACCUAUUGAUCACCUUUACUUCUAAUAUUGAGAUUCAUAAAAUCUAAAGUAGCGUUCGGUCGAAUUCUUCUACGGUAUUCAAUUUACCACCCUCGAGUUCUCAUUAAGCAUAUUUAAAUAAUUCAAUUCCAUAUCUCUAUGCGAAUCAACAUUAUUUAAACGAAAUAAUAGUUCUAAGAAUUCAUAUAGGAUCGCAACAAUUAAUAUAGGUAUCUCUACACAUUAUAUUAAUUUACCGAAUUUUAAUAUGUGGUUUAAACAAGAAUCCGCAUCUCUACACAAUUAUUAUCCACGAAAUCAUUGAAUAAUUUGCCAGAAAAUUCAAAGCAUUAAUAACACAAUUAAAAUCCACACAUGAAAUUAUAACUCAAAUAAAAGAAAUAAAGGUUCCCAAAUCAGUUAUAGUGUUCGCCCCAAAAUCAGAUUAACUACUCAUAGUAAUGAAAAAAAAAAAAGAAAUUAUUAUGAAAGACAUCAUCGAGUUCUGAAUAAGAAUGUAGAAGAAGAAAUCAAUCUUGCAUUAAGAUCUUCUUCCUCUUCCAAUUUAUGCUUCAACCCUUGAAUUGCUUGUUCUCCUCUUGAAUUCUUCUUUUUUUAUUUUUGAUUAUCCAAUUAUGUUAUCUUGCCUCUCAAUGUGUGAAGAAGAAUCCCCCCAAGAGUGUGAGAAAUAUGUAUUUAUAGGUGCCUCCUCCGUUUGCAUAGAAAGUAAAGUUUUUAUGGACUUCAAAACGGCCCAAAAAUACGUCCUAAAUAAUCCCGGCACAGCGCCUAAGCGUCGCGUCAAUUUAAACGCAUCGCCUAAGCGCUACGUCUGUAGCACCUAGGCGCUGAUGAUAGAACCUGGGUGCUAAGACUGCAGCGCCUAGACUCUGUCUCUUAAGUUCAAGUUUCAUUUUUUUUUAAAGUUUCGUAGCACCUAGGCGCUACAAAUUCAGCGCCUAAACGCUGUCUUUCUGCCACAAUUUCCUUAAUUUUGAUCUCUUCGUCCGCUUUAAUUCCUUUUUUUGCAUCGACUUUUCUAAUCUUCAAAACAACACUAACAAACACAUCAAAAACAUUCUAUACUAAUAAGAUCUAGCAAUUAAUCAAAAUAAAAUUGUACAAAAUUUAUGAGCGAAAUAAACUCAUCAGGUUUAAUUCAGUUUUUUGACAAAUGGUAGGAUGUAGUAAAAUUUUGAAAGAAUUUCCGUUAAAAUAUAUUUGUCUCGUUCUACUAAAUUGUUUCAAAUAUUAUUAACGAAUGAAACUUUAACAAGAUAAGGCAGUAAAUAAGAAUAAUACUUAAAAGUAAAUGUUAAAAAAUUCACAAAUAUGUGGUGUAACAAAAGAUUUCCGUGGUGGCAAUGUAGUCUUCCAUAGGUAAAACAAUCUAGGAGUAGGUUUAAAUAGGUUUUUAUAAAAUUCCAAUUUCUUUUGCUAAAAGAUAUACAUUUCGAUUUAAUUUGGACCUUAGUUCGAAACUACGACCGAUCUCCUGCAGUUGUAGAUUCCAAACCAUUGAUAUGACAUAGAAUUUGAUUGGAUAAGUAUGUUGAUUGUUCUUAAUUUAUUUGAAGAGAAUUCUUAAGUAGUUAACGUUAUUUGACCAGUUAGCCAAGUAUAAUAAAACAUGCAUUAAACCAAAAUUAAUUAAGGCAAGAAACAAGAAUUUAACGUGGUAAACCCGCUCUUACAGACUAAAAAACUUCCACUACAAAAAAAGGGAGUCAUUACAAAUUUUUUGAAUUAAUAUAAUUAUUUACUAUUAAGAAACUAAAACAAAGAACAUACUCUUAAUUAAGAAACAACUAAAAACCCUUCCCUAUAUCAGUUUUUCCAAUUCUUUCAUGUAGAAUUAAUGCUUUUUUGGAAGGGAUUUUGAAAAUUGAUUUUUUGACCAUUAGAGAUAAAAUGGAUCCUAUUUAUGAGAGAAGAAUUAAAAAAUGACGACUAAAAUGGUAAAAUAAUAAUAAAAUAUUAUUUUAAUUGAAUUAAAAUCUUUACCAAACACGCUUCCACGAAACUGACUUCAUCCUUACCCUUUGCCAAUUUGACGUUUUACAACGAAAGUAAAGGUUAUCUUUAUUUACGCGCUUUCAUAUCCUAUUUCUCGACCCAAAUACAACGUAUGGAAGCGACCUUUCUAAGUUCCUAAUAUUCUAGAAUCACUUUAUGACCAUAGACUAGGAAAAAUUCAUACUGUGGAAAUUCUUAGCAGACCUUUGAAAAUUGAUUAGGAGAAACUGACAAGAAAACAAGACUAAGAGUGAUUGAUGCUGUCAGUAAACAAGACUAAGAGUAUGAUUGAUGCUAUUUUUUGCAAAUAAUGUAUUUUUAAAUAGUGAUUUGAUGAAAAAUGUGUGAUUAAAAAUUAAGAAAAAAAUGUGAAUUCACGUGUAAUAUUAUUUUAUUAAAAAAUAUAUGAUUAGAAAGAAAAGAGAGAAAAAUGUAUUUUAAAAAAAAAAAUGCUUAAAUAUUCAAGUUAGAUUAAUCAUAAUAGGUAUGUUUGGUUGGGAUAAAAAUAAAAAAUAAAAAGAUGUUUACUUGUAAGUAAACAAAUAGGUUUAAAUUAAUUUUCUUCUUAUUUGGUAAUGCUUGCAAAUAUGUAAUUUCAAUGUCUUCACUGUAAAAUAAAAUGUUAUUUUCAAGAAGAAUAUUUUUUUAUUUAAAGAUGUGUUAAAAGAAAAGUUUGGAGAUAAAAGUAACUUCAACUUUUUAAAGCUCAGGUAAUCAUACUAUUAUAUUCAGUAAAAAAGGGUACGUAUUUCUUACUUUUAAGUAAAAAAAAUUUUAAUUUAUUUUUUACUUUAUUCAAUAUAAGUAACUUAGCCUCCAUUAGAUUUUUUUUUUUUUUUUAAUCACUUGAAAAGAGGAAUAAUGGUGAGUAUCACUAAAUGUCAUGAUAAUAAAUGAGUAAUAGCUAUAAAUAUGUUAUUGAAAUUAAUAUUUAACUUUGACUUAAUUUAUAAAUUAUUUAUAAAUUGGCUGCAAAAUGGAGGUGGUUGAUAAAACAUUAUGUAUUUCAUAAGGUACUUAUUAUGUAUAAGUAAAUUACAUAAGCCUAAAAUUAUAUUCUUAGCCAAACAUAAAUAAUAGCAACCGGCAAGCAACCAUGCCAGCAAAUUUUUUGUUGUUUAUAAUUAGAACAAGUCUUGUCACCAUUCAUAAAUUACCUUUGCAAAAGAGAAGUAAGUAAUUCACGAGAAAUCCACAACGUCCCGUUAUGGAUUUGAAUCCAAUCACACAGGCCAUGUAUUUAUUAGAAAGAAAAAGAAAAGACAUUAUGUUACGCCUAUUCCAAUGAAACUCUAAGCAUUGCCGAUCCUAACUUUCAAGUUCACGCAUUAUAUAACUAUUCAUACAUGAAAUUGGGGGGCCAUUGUUAUGCCUCUUCCAAUGAAACUUUAAGCAUUUUCAAUCCUAACUUUCAAGUUCACGCAUUAAAUAAAUAUUCAUACACAAACUUGGGAGACUAUUGUUACGCCUCUUCCAUUGUCAAAUGGCAUCUCCAUCGUAAGAGAAUUGAGGCCCGCACUUCACAUCAUUCUACACAGGUAGCAAUUUGGCCGAGCCGCCAUGGAGGGCUGAGCCCCCAUGAAUGAAGCGAGGAAGGUAGAGGCAUCUUAGGGAAGAUCUUCAUAUAAGAUCUUGUAACAAGUGGGGUGAUGUGACAACUCUCUACAUGGACUGCCCAACUCAAUAAACAAGUCAAGUCAAGUCUAGUCUAGUCUAGUCUUACAUGUCAGGUUUAGAACUGCUAAUGGUCAUAACAUUAUAUGCACUUGAGUCUAAGCCUGACUGAUUGAUGCCUAUAACAAGAGGCCCUAGCCGCCAAGAUGAGGCCACUUGUCUCUUCAUCCAACGGUUCUUAUUCACCUUCUUCUAUUAUAAAAGCUCACACUUGAUAUUAUUUCAAAGGUAAUGCAAGUUUAGACUUUUAUACUAUAACUUUGUUUUUUGCAUUCUUUACUCCCAAUACCGACCCCCUUUUUAUAUUGGAGGCUCACGUUAAAAGCCCUCCCACACUCAUAUAUGUCUUCCCACAAACUGAUUUGACCGUCGGAGUAUGCGCGGCCGGCUCCAACCCCAUCGGAGAAGGCCACGUGUGUCUAACGGUUUGUCUUAGUGUGCAUGAAUACGACUUACUUGGACAUGAGAAGUUUUGAAAUCUGUUGGCCAUAUCUGAGGUUUAUUUUUUGAGUUCAACAAAUACAAAACCAAAAAAAUACCAAUAUAAUUUCAUCAACUUCAUAAUGAGAAGAUCCAAAACUGACUCCAGUUUUUGGUAUUCAGAUAUAUUCCGAUCAAAUAAGCUGUGUUAUUAUUUUACUUCAAUAUAUAGAAUUUCUUGUGGUAUCAUUCAACUGGUAAAUAUUCAAUCUGGAUUCUAGAAGCUGUAAAAAUUGGAAUAUGUUUGAUAUAAAAAAAGCUAAAACGCAUCUGUCAGAAAUUCUAAUCUUUAUCUUAUUCAUGUCCUUUGAAUGAGACGCAAAAGAAUGCAUAGAUUAUUCAAACGAAACAGAUAGUCAAUAAUGGCGUGCCAAGAUAAUGAAUUUUAAGCUGCAGUAUAGUAAUAUGAGAAUGGCCUUAUCCACAACACCGCACCUAUAAAAUACCUCUUCAUGUUCUGUUUUCUAACAAGCUCUCAAUUUAUAUUCACGUCAUUUUUCUUCGAGUCUUCCUAGGUUACACUAUUAACGAAAAACAUGGGUAUCUCUAAGUUUUUCCAUGAAAUCAAAGCUAAGGCUUCUCACAAGAGGAUGUUCAAGGCUGUGAUGAUUGAAAACGCCGACGUUUUGCCGAAAGCCCAUCCACACAUCAAGAAAAUCGAGACAAUCCAAGGAGAUGGUGGUGUUGGAAGCAUCAAGAAGACAACUUUCAGUGAUGGUUAGUCUACUAAACAACAUCACGUAAAACGAAUAAGAAUAUUAUAAUUUAUUUGCAGUACUGAGAGAAAAACGCUAUCUUUAAUCCUGUUCAAUAUUAUCAAUAUAGCAUUUUAAAUAUUUGAUAAGUAUGUUAUUACAAAAAUUAAAAAAAAAACAAUAAAAUAUAAAAAAUUCUUAGGGACAGACAAUAUAACAUCGUCGUUGCUUAUGUACAAUGUUGUGUAAUCUAGCAUACUAAAUGUGUCAUUCUUUUUUACAUAAUCUGAUGAGCAUAUAUGUUUUCCCAAAGGCAAGUACAUGAAGAACAAGAUCGACCAUCUGGACCCUGCAAACGGCGUGGCUAAGUUGACUUUAUUUGAGGGUGACGUACUUGGAGACAAAAUUGAAUCUAUUAGCUACGAGGUGAAAUUUGAGGAUUCAAAGGAUGGAGAAUGUGUUGUCAAGAUCAACACUGAGUAUCAUACCAAGGGUGAUGUUGUACUAAAAGAAGAGGAUAUUAAGGCAAGCAAGGAACAAUCUUUUGAAUUCUACAAGGCUUAUGCAGAUUACCUAAAUGCCAAUCCUCAUGUUUGUGCCUAAAUAUUUUUCAGUUAUGUCUUGACGUUGUGAUGUAUAAUGGAAACACACAUGUUUCCCUAUUUCCCUAUUUCAGCAAGAGUGGUGUUUUUGCCUUAAUAAAGAACUUUGUUCUACUUUCCUUUGAAGUCUUCUUUUUUUAUUUUUUUCCUCCAUCCCACCGCCGCCCCCCCUAAAACGACUAUAUAUUGCAUAUUUUAUUAAUAGCAAAGACAAAACAUAGUAUAUACUUAGGAGGGAGGUUCAACCACACCCUCCAGCUGAAGAUAAUAUAUAUAUAUAUAUAUAUAUUCUCUAGAAACAAUAUAUAAAAUGUAAGAGUUAAAAGAAAGCACACUAUAUACGCUCUGUCAUACUCCCCAUCAUCUUUCAAUAAGUGGUCAAUCAUGCUCCUUAUUAUAUUUGAACUCACUACAUGAAGUUUGUUCUUUUCGACUAAUUAAAUUCAUGUUUCUAUAAUCAAUUCGAUCCCCCGAUUGAAUCGGGCGCAAACUGUCAUCAAAUUUUCCAAUACUAAUCAAGAAUUUUGUCAUGACCCAUACCGAAUCAUCCUAAUAAAUCCAACACCUGUCAUGCGCCGAUAGUAGAUACCACUUAAGUAUGGGAUCCACCACCAAGGCAACUAUAUCCUGCUUAGAUUGUGACAUAUUUCUAUAAAAAUUUGACAAAAUUUCUUCUGAAAUAUGGACUAAAACCACGUGAAUAAAACGCAAUUUCUCAACCUUGUACAUAUAAUAUAAAAUAUAAUACUCUAGUCCCUCAAAAUACUAAUUAUUCAAAAUAAAAUACUUACAAAUCGAUAUUUACUUACUUUACAACUAACAAUCAUUAAAUGUACUAAAGAUGCCAAAUAUGUAGUGUGCCCAUAGAAACAUGUAUUAUAUAAACUGAUAAAGUAGGUCAUACAACUAAUGACUUGUGGCUCAAUUCAAUGGAUCGACAAGAUCUAAAGCUGUUCAACUCGAUUGCUAUUUGAUAAAGAAAAAGGUGAUAAGAUAAAUGAGCUUAUAGCUUAGUGAGUGAAUAAUUUGCAAAUGAGUAUAUUUUUUCAUUUAUACAUAUUUUUUGAAAAUUCCUACUCUGUUAAAACUUUGAGAAAUCCAAAAAUUUAGUAACACUUUUAAAACUAAACAUAAUUUCGUCAUACAAUUCUUUGUUCUUAUUCUAGGUAAGCAACUAUAAGGUACAAUAAAUAUGAAUAAUCUGAUAUCAGUAAAUAUAAGUGAAAAUAUCAUUUCACAUAACUAUAAGUUGAAAUCAUAACUCUAAAAACUAGAUAAGCUAAAUUCUAUACUUUGUAAUCAGAUAAGUUGUAGAAAAAAAAUAAAAUAAAAAUUCACACCAAAAAUGGUACCCAAAAUAACCUUAAUCAUGUAUCGAUUAGUACCGUUACACAUGGCAAAUCUAUUCAAUUUUGAAAUUCUGGUCAUAUGCGCACAGAGCUGCCUGAAGGCUAUAAUCUAGUCAUACACUAUGGAAACACAUUCACAAUAGUACAAAGCAGAUAAAAUCACCAUAAUUGAUCAUACACUGUGAAAAUACAUUCACACCAGUACAGAGUAGGUAAAAUAACCAUAUGCAAGGUCGGACCUAAGGAGAGGCCCAAGAGGCCUCGGCCUCAGGCCCAACUUUUUAGGCAACCCAAAAUUGUGUUUUCCUUCUUCAUUUCAUUUCUUUUUUUUUUUUUUUUUAAACCCACUAUGUGCACAAAAGGGGGAAAAAACCAAAACGGCAAAAUCCCGAGAAAUCAAAAGGGUAAAAAUCAAGAACAAAGAAGAACGACGGUGGAGGUCGGAGAUUCGGAGCUGAUGUGAUCGUCAUCACCAUCAAUAGUUCACCUCCCAAUUUCCUCUCCGUUGACGAUGGUAUUUUUCUUCAAAAUAAUCUUGUAUUGUAUUGGGUGAUUGGUAUGGAUUUUUCCGAAGCAUCCUACAUUUUUUGGCAUGCUUUUUAUUUAAAUCGCAGUGGCCUGAGGGCUGACAUAUGCAUUAGAUUGAGAAUUGAGAUUAAACAAUUUGGUUCUAAUUAACUUUACUUAUUCAGAAAAUCACCAGCUCCGUCCGCUGUUUUGUUUGAGGAGAAAAAGUAAAAGGCUGAAAAGGAUUAACUUUUGAGUUUUGGUAUUGAAUUGCAUGGAUUUAGGCAUUUAGCUUUGUGUUGGAACUACAUUGAAUCAUUGAUAUUAUUUUGAUUCCUGGAUUCUUAGAUGUUCUUUCAUGUAUUUAAUCGGGCAAUGGGCAGCAACUGAGGCUUUAUGUGAAAUUUGAAUUUCAUAGAGUUUAGACAUUGAGGCAAUCAGAUCCUGGAGCUUGGGUGCUAUUUCUGUGAUUAUCAAGAGAGCUGGGAACUGAAGGUCAAACACUUGAAAAAACCAUCACUGGACAUAUGAUUAGAAGUAGCUACAGGAACACGAUGAAUUUAAGUUAUUAGUUUUCUCUUUUUUGGAGUUGAUAACUAAUUUAUAUAAUAAUAUUCUCUUGAGUGGCCAAGACAAUUUCGCCUGCUGAUCCAGUAAUGAAUGUUAAUUGUCCUCUGGCAGUUCAUAUUACUCUUUCAUGUCCCUCUAUAAAAGUAUGGAUUUUUGACUGCUAUGAAAUAAUCUUCUAUACUCAGGUUACUCUUACAUUUCAUUAAAUCUAAUUUAUUAACAUUUUGUGAAACUACAGGAGAGUUGAUUGAUAUAAUUUUUGUUCUAAUUUUACAGUUUACGAAGUGUUAGAUGUUGAGUGACUUGAGUCAAAUACCAUACCUCUAAUUUUUGUUGCUUCAUUAUUGAUUUUAAGUUAAUAAAUUUAAUUCCUUAAAACUCUUAUAAAUUAAAAGGAUGAAUUGCUUGCUGUGACUUAGAAGCUCAAAUUCUAAAGUUUGCCUCAAGCCCUGCGAAACACAAGUCUGGCUAGGGUUGGCAACGGUUCGGUUAUGGGUCGGUUCGGCCAAAACCAUACCGCACCACCAAAUUUUUGACCAUACCAUAACCGCACCAUAACCACGUAAAUCGAUUCGGUUCGGUUCGGUUCGAUUUUUAUCUCGGUUCGGCACGGUUCGAUUCGGUUAAUAACCACGAAAAUAAAUUAUUUUUUAUAGGUUCAUCCGUCAAAUUGAUAUAAAACAAUUUAUGAAAAAAGUCAAUGAAAACAAAAAUACAAUAUUUCAAACGAAAAUGCAAACAUUAUCAAGCAAUAUUCCAAACGUAAAUGCAAACAUUAUCCUAAUUUUCAAUUGUAAAAUGCAAAUUUAACAAACAAUAUUAUAAAUAUAAUAAUACUAAACUUUUCCUUCAUUCUUAAUUGUUGUGCAUUGAAGUUACUUGAUGCAUUCUUCCCUACAAGUCUUAUUAGCAUAGAUCAGCAUUCAAAGUUGAUUCCUAUUCAUCCUUGGCAAUAUUGGCACGUCUAGAAAAACAUCGAACUCUGUUUUUACAUGAUCAGCAGUAAUAGAAUGACUAACAAAUGUAACAAAUUUUCGUAGGCGACGACGAUUUGGACCAUAGAGGCAAUGGAGCCGUGCGUGAGUUUUUGGUUGUGCAGAGUAGGGUUUGUAUUUAUAUACUGUCAUACUAAUGUUAUUAUGGGCUAAUGGUAAGUAGAUUGGCCGAAUGAGUGAGGUAGAUAUAAUGAGGAGGGGAGGGAUUUUGUUUUGAUUUUGAUAGAAAAGUAGUGUAAAACCCAUUAUCAAUUCAAUUUUUUUUUAGCGGGUAGCCGGUUCGGUUUCGGUUCGACGACGUAAAUACCAUACCCGCACCAUUACGAACCGGUUCAUUAAAAUCAAAACCAUAUCCGCCCCAUUGCACCAUCGGUUCGAUUUUUUUCGCCCCAUUCGGUUCGGUGAACCGCGGUUUUCGAUUUUGACGGUUCAAAUUGCCAUCUCUAAGUCUGGCCCUGGUGUUAUGGAGCCACACACCGUGGAAACACAUUCACACAAAUGCAAAUAUGGGUAAAAACUCCUAUAUACUUUCUGAUAGUUUUAAAAAUAACUUUAAAUAUAUUGAAAUAUUUAUAUUCAUUUAGCAUGCAAAUCAAAUGAUUUAACUAAAUUGGAUUUAACUUUAAAAAUAAUUGAUUAUAAAUCCACUUUAUUCUAAAAUUCAUGUUAUCAAAUCAACUAAAUGAAAUAAUAAAUUUUCGGAUCUGAUAUAAAUUUAAUAAAUACUAAUUUUUGAAAAAUAAGUUUAUAUCUACUCACCAAGUUAGAGAUUGAUUGUGAUUUCAAUCUUCUUGUCACCUCCUCACAUUCAAAUACCAAGUAUGACAUCUUGCACUCCUCCCAAGAAACCAUAUCUCGUCACUAAAGUGCUUUAAGCAAUUUUUCCUACCAUUAGAAAUGAUUAUUUACUGAUAAGCACUUGGAGUAUUUUAUUUUCAAUGUAAGGUAAUAAUCUCAAUUAGGGUCAUAAUAACAUAACGACCUUUAUAUAAGUUACUUCAACAUUUAAUCCCCAAUAUUUAAUACUUAAUUUGGUUUUCACACUAAAAAAUCCAAGAAAAUCAAAGAUAACAAAAAAUAGCACUGUAUUUCCAGAAUAUAGAAAUCUGGCACCAAUUUCUGUAUAUUGAACUGCCACCAAAACCAUUGACAGAAAUGGCACCUUCUGGGCAGAAUUUCAAAAAGAGCACUAUACAUGAAUUUUGCCCGAAAAUUAAUUAGAAAAAAAAAAAACCAAAUCCAACCUCAACUCCUUAUCUCAUUGUAAUGCCUCAUAAAUCAAGUAUUUUAUAGCAUAUACACAAUAAAUAUAGAGAUUUAGGCUGUGAUUUACAAACCCAUUUCAUAUUACUCUAACAUAUAUUCAACUCCAAUAUCUAUUCUUUCCUCCAAAUCUUUAAAGUUAGGCCACUAAUUACAAACCCAAAUCUAACAAUAUUGAAUAACAAUGAGUUUUCUUACCUCUUGGAAUAGAAUGAAAGAAAUGAACCUUGUACUUGAGUCCAUAUUUCAUCUUCUUCAAUAAUCUCUUUUUCCUUUCCUAUUUCCCAUUUUUUCUUAUCAUCUUCCCCCUUUUUCUUUCUCUAUCUCUUCUUUCCUUCUCUACCUCCUUCUCGAUUAUUCUCUCAGCUUCUCUGCUCGUUUUAUCCCCAAAUGGAAAAAUAGUGGUACUAACUCAUAAUUGCAAAACAAGUCCUCCAACCUUCAUUUAAAACCACAUUAAAUCCUUGUCUUUCAAUUCUAUAUAAGUCGAUCCCCAAAAUUAAAUUUUAUCCAUCUUAAACCCUCAAAAUAUUUUUCAUAAUAAAUUAAGCCCCAAUAAACUAAUUUAUUUCAUUUUAGUCCCUAUUGACUUUGACUUUGAUAACUAAACUUUUAAUUUUUGACUACAAAAUAUUGAGUUGUAACAAAUUUAGUUUAUAGUUUUCUAUUCCGAGUGAUAUAAUGAAUGUUUUGAGUUAAUUGAGACAAGCACGUGGGGCUUGUUUUAUAUCCCUAUUUAUCGCCAGAAACACAUAGAAUCUAAAUCUUCACAUGAGUCCCCUAAUCACUCAAAUUCUUAGAAAGUUAUUUUAUUUAUGUGCCAUCAUAUCCUAUUUCUUCACCCAAAUUCAUCGUAUGAAAGUUACCCUCAUAAUUUCCUAAUUCUAGUGUCACAUGAUGUGACAAUUGACUAGGAAAACCUGAAAUCGAAGAAAAUCAUAGCAUUGUCUUUGAAAAUUCACUAGGAGAAAGCGAGAAGAAAACAAGAAUAAAUAAUCGAGUUAGAUUAAUCAUAAUAGAUAUGUUGGGUCCUGAUAAAAGUUUACUUGUAAGUUAAUAAUUAGUUUAGAUUAAUUUAAUUUUUAUUUGAUUAUUUUCAAAAAUAUGUAAUUUAAUUGUCUUGACAGCAAAAUAUAAUGUUAUUUUGAAGAAUAAUAAUUUAUUAUUAUUUUUAUUUUAUUUUGAAACGCAUUAAUAAUAAGUUAUUCAAAAAUAAAUAAAUAAAUAAAAAUGGUUUGGAAAAAAAAGUAUUACAUAAAAGUAAAUUUAUAUUUUUUAAGCUUAGCUAAUCAUACUAUUAUAUUUAGUAAAUCAAAUUAUGUUUUUCUUAUUUUUAAGUAAAUAUAUUAUUUUGAAGAAUUUUUACUUUACUCAUAAUAAGAAACAUAGCCUCAAUUCGAAAAAUUUAUAAAUCUUUAUUAAUAAUGAGGAAUAGUUGCGAGUCUCACCAAAUGUGUGGAUAAUAAAUAAGUAAUAAUUUAUGAACAUUAAUUGAAAUUAAUCUUUGAUUUUGACUUAAUUUAUAAAUCAUUUAUCAAUUGAUUGUCAAACGGAGGUCUAAUUACAUUCAAUAGCAACAGAUGAAAAAUUAUUUAUUUCAUAUGUUACUUAUUAUGUAUAAGUAAAUUAUAUAAGCAUAAAACUUUUUAGUCCCAGCCAAACGAAAAUAAUAGAAACCCAAUGGCUGCAAAUUUGUAGUUGUUUAUAAUUAGAUCAUCUUAUCAUCAUUUAUCAUUACCCUAGCAAAAGAAAUAUAAGUAAUCAACGAGAAAUCUGUUGGAAAAAUGGUUUUAGUUAAGCAAACUUGAGCUUAGUUUUACGUGAGGCUCUCCAAAAUUUACAAGAUCAAGCAUUCACAUUCUACUCCGUGAGAUGAUUGACAUGAUAUAUUUAUUUAUUAAAAUCAUUGAUAAUUGAAUGAAAUAUUUGAUUCCAAAUUUACCCUCUUCAAAAUUUAAAUUUGAAAUUGCUAAAUUCUUGUCCACAUUUGAAACCUUAUGGUAUAUAGUAUGGUUUAUAAGGUGAGAGCUGACAAUUGGGUUUGGGUUUCAAGGGUACCACAUUUGAAAGCAUGUUUAGUCGUGGGAAAAAUAUGAUAUAUAGUAUGAGCUGUUCAAGGGUACCACAUUUGAAACCUUGUGAUAUAUAGUAUGAGUUGUUUUAUUAUAAGGAAUGUGAGAAAAAUAUGGAUGAACUUCAUAAUGAUUACUUAUUAUGGGAUAAUUUGUUGCCUAAGAAAAGAGUUAAAUGGAUAUGUACAUUCAAGUAUGUUUAUGUGAUUUGAGAAAAAAGGGGAGUAGAGAAUGGUAGAGUUGGAAUUUAUUUAGAUUAAAAAAUUAAUAUAAGAGAUCUGGGUGGCAUAUUGAUGUGUGAAAGGUUCAUAUUAAAAAUAUGAAGGUUGUUAUUUUGUGAUCUUAACUAAAAUUGAUAUAAUUAAAAGUUAGAAGGCAUAUGGUACGGCUAUAAGUAUGUGAUGGUGUUAUAUGAUUACAACAUGAUAUGAUGAGUAUGUAAAUGAACAUAAUGGUUGUCAUAUAGCAAAAUAAUGUGAUGAUUGAUUUGGUUAUUAAGUUAAUUCAUUUUCUUAAUGCCAUUUUGCUGGAUUAUUGUGUUAUAUUCCAUACAAUUUGGAAGCGUUGAGUUAACUUUUGAGGCCAAGGUGAAAUUAUUGAAAUUUUGGUGAUAUAAUUUUUAGGUCAUUUUCAAUUUUAUUUUAGGAUCUCAUGAAUAAAGUAUUUCAUUUUUAUCGAGAUGUAUUUGCUACGAAAUAAACGGAUGAUAUGUUGGAAAAUUUAAAGUUUAAGAGGAUCAUCAGAUGUAUGUUUAUACAUUGUGGAAUGAUAUCUUUAGGUUACAUUAACUUCAAUAAAGGUCUUUAUCUGACAUACAAAAAGACUUAUGUAUUGGUAAUAGGUCCAAGGCCUCUAUAUGGAAUAAGAGUGUAGCAUUAUCAUGGAUCAAAUGUUAUUAAUGUCUCUUCAUAGAAAGAAAGCGAAAAAAAAAAUGUGUUGGUUUAGAAAGGUAAAAUUUGUGCCUACGAGGAGCUUGAAAUUGAUUAAAUUUUGAGGAAAUAUUUGCUCACAUAUCUAAAGUUGAUGAGGGUUUGAUUUAUGAUAAUGAAUUAUGCUAGGGUUUGGAAAGUGUUUUGAAUAAACGAUAAAUUAUGGAUUAUAAGAUAGAUUGUUGAAAAUGCAUGAUUAAAAUAUGAUUUAGAGUUGACUAUUUUAGUAUUGACAUUUAGAAUUAUAAUGUUAUCACAUGGUGAGAAAUACGAAUACUUACCAAUCACAAAAGUUUAAGGUAUAUUUGUAUUCGAAAGAAUUGAACAUGAAGCUGGCAUAUAAGACUCGAUACAAAUAACUCUUUUGAGGUUAUAUGAUACUUGUAUAUUUCAAUGGCUUAUUUAUUGGGAUGAAAGUUACAAAAGAAAGCUAUUGAAUCUUAAUACCACUACAACAAAACAAUGAUUUAGCGAUAAGAUUUUUUGCGACAUACAAAAAGUUGUCGCAAGAAGUGACUUAACGCGACACAUUUUUAAAGUUUGUCGUGAAGAUUGUGAUGAAAAAAAUAUGUACCAAAAACUAUUUUACGACAUAAAAAGUUGUUGUGAAAUGUGAGAUGUUGCGACAAAUAAUAAAGAUUGUCACCAAAAAUAUGAGGGAAGCAAGGCACCAAAAUAUUUUUGCUGUGAAAUUUAUGGCGACAAACUUCUUUUCUUGCAACAAAAUGCUUAUGAUGCAAUAGGGUCUCCUCUUGGCGAUAAAAAAAUAUUUUUUUCUAAAAAUUCUAUAGUUGGAGGAAAAAAAGGCUACAAGAAUAUAACUUUUUUGCAGCGGACAAAAAAUAUUGCAGUAGAUUUUUUACAAUCCUCACCCAUAUAUGUCGACCCUAAUAUUGUCGUAGAGUUGAAGGAUACUGCAAUGUGCAAUACAUGCCGCAAAAGACCUCAAAUGUAAGUGUUCAUGAAAUAUUUCUUUCGACUUAAAAUUAUUGCAAGUGUAUGAUUCGUUAGCAAGUAAUAAAGUUGAAUGUUAAGUUCUGAGUAUCGUUACACAGAGAUUGAGUAGUUUAAUUCUAACUAUUUUAACCUUAAUCGAAACAAAUUUUUCAAAACAGGAAUUUAUUCUCAGAAAAACCCUAAUUUAGUAAAACCCUAAUUAUUGAAACUUGAUGAUUGGAAUGAACUCAAUAUGCAAAACAACAUUUUAUAGAAUUAAAAUGCAAAUUAUACGUUUGGAAUGCAAAUUGGCUGUGUUCAAUGAAAACUAAAAGCACUAGAAUCACGAAUUUCUAUGUAAUGAUCACUCUUAACCCUAAUUUCACAAAAUGACAACACGAUUAAAUUAUUGACGAAUCAAUGCUCCUAAUUCUAUUCAACACUCUCUCUCGAGAUGUAUUAAACGUAUUCUUAUACACCACCGGCCUAUAUCUCUAUAACAAAUGCAUAUAUAAGAAUGCAUGUGGUUUUAUGAACAUCUAAAGAUUCACGCAAAGCAUAGGGGUAUAUCUCUAUCCCGUAUCGGACCCUACGUCGAUUUAUACCUUGUCAAAUUUAUUUCUCUUCUCUCGAACAGAUAAAAUAAACCACCAAAUAUCACAUAAUUACGUACACUUAAUUAUGGAGGAAAAUUAUUGUAUAUAAAUCAUUCAAACAUUCAAAUACAUGUUUAUUGUCAAAUUGCAAACUAGAAAUUAAAGAAAUUAUAUCAUAUUGUACAUUGAUCUCCCAGUACAUGAAAACCUAGCCCAACAUGAAGAAAAUUACAAAAUACACGAUAAAUUGUAGAGAAAGCAUCACUAGGUUAUGAAUUUGCUUGAAAUCUUGAUGAUCUUCGUGUAAGUUCUUGUUACUUUAGCUCAAAAUCCUCUCCAAGAUGUGUUUUCUUGUCUCCCAAUGCGUUCUGUCUCGAAAUAUGAUAGCUUUAGGUUUAUUAUAUUGCUUCCAAAUCACGUUCCAAUAGAAUUAUAACACAAAACAGAAACUGCAGAAUCGUCCCGAAUUUUUACACCAUGCGACCGCAUGGUUGAACCUAUUUUGGGAUUUUAAAUCUCGGGUGGGGGUUGUGCGAUCGCAUGGUUAUAACACCAUGUGACCGUAUGGUGUAAACCUUCCAAUUUGUGCUGUUUUAGUCCACAAACUCAAUCCUCUUGUUUAUUGGCCUCUUUUCUUCGACUAUUUUAUUCCAUCCUCUCAUAUUGACCUCCAAUUGGUACUUGUUACUAUCAAUUCUUUGAUUGCUCCCUUGGCUCAUCUUGUGGAUAUAUGCACUUUGGUCCUCGAAUUAUCACUUUGAUUCAUUUUGGUCCUUUUCACUUAUUUUUCUCGUGAAUUCCAUCAACUCUAUUAGAAAACCCUACAAUCCAAGACUCAAGAGAAUUUAGGUCACAUUCCAAACGUUUUGCUCGUAUUUUAGUCAUGUUUGUGAGUUAUAUAAGUGUAUAAAAACGCACUUAUCAACUCCCCCAAACUUUAACUGUUGUUUGUCCUCAAACAAGAUAGUAACUUAAAUCUCAACAAUCAUGACUCAAUAAUCUGCCAUAUCUCAGGAUUGGAAUUCAGUGAUUAACACAAGAAACAGUUUCAACAGUGUUAGAAUAGAAUUUACCUUUACUUGUCGGAUGCAAGACUCAUCCUGUGUAUGUGAUUUCAUACAAUCAUAGCAAGCUCAUGAUUGGUUCAUUCCCGACCCCAAAAUGGUCAAAUAUAUUCUUAAUUCGCUCGAGAGAUACACAACCCCCAACUUAUUCUUUUCACUCAAUUAUUUCAGGGUUGUGCUUUAAAGUUAAGGGUUUGGGUAACUGUAGUCCUUACCCUCUCUUUGUUUGGAUAGAUCUCACCAUCACAGGUUCGCAUGUCAACAAAUGAAGGCUCUCCUAGAUUUGAUUGCUUUAACACUCAAGAUUAAACUAAGUUACUUGCCUCGCCUUGAAGGUGUGAUUUUUAUCAACCAAAUGUCCAAAGGCUUCUUCUAUACUAUCGUACUCUGUAUUUUUCAUUAAUUUUUUUUAUGUCAUCUUCUCAUUUGCUUUCUAUAUGACCCCUGUAGCGAGCUUUAGGCCGGUGACUUCCAACCCAAUUGGCUUUAGGGCAUGAGGUUUUAAACCAUUGCAUGCUUAUUCACUCGAGUUAUAAGGGCUCGAUCAGAUUUUUUUUAUUAAUAUCUUUCCCUCUUGCUUUCUAUAUGACCUUUGUAACGAGCGUUGGGCCGGUGUCUCUCAAACCAGUCGGCUUUAGGGCACUAGAUUUCGAGAUAUCCUUAAAGGCUUACUUGCUUGAGUCAUAAGGGCUUGGAAAUGUGUCAUAUUUUCGUAACCUAAAAUUAUGCCCAUUUUUAUUUUUUCUAGACAUUUGGUCUCUAGAAUCAACCCCCCAAUUGAAGAGUUUCUCCUAGUUUUCAUCUCACAUGUCUAGACAAUCCACACAGCAUUACAUGCACGAAGCCCCAACUUAUCUCAAUGUUCCCAUAUAAUUGUUAAACCAUCUCCAAUUUAUUCAACAAUUUUUGGUUUAUUAAUCAAAUCGAGGUUUUCUGGUUUCUCCUGCUUUAUUCAAACCUAAUUACUCACUUGACAUGUAUGGCAUGAGUGGCGUGCAUAUGAAAUGUCAAGUACUACCUCAACAAGUAUCAGUUAAUCAAAUUUUGCACUAUAUUCACAGUUCCUAACACAUAUGUAUUCUAAUAAUCACAUCAUUGUCGGUAAGGCUAUCAAACCCAAAAUGCAUGCAAUGAACUUAAUAGAGCAUAUUGAUACAAUAAUCACUCAUCAAGCACACAAUAUGCAACCAGUGUCAAAAGAUUGAUGGAUUGUGAUCGUUUAAAAAAGGAUUACAUUACAUGCCGAUAAUUUAGUUUCCAAAAGAGUCAUGUUCAAAAUAUACCACCACCCCCAAACUUAUACAAUACAUUGCCCACAAUGUGAAAAAUAAAGGCUUCAAGAGACAUAAUUUGAAGGACAAGUGCAACUUAGAGUUAGCAAAUUAGUUAAAUAAAACUCCCUUGAUCACUAUGGUGGUGGUGACUGGUAGCUACGUCCUACGGUGUCGUUGCUCGGUAGAUGUGGAAAAUGAGCCAAGAUGUGCCUCAGUAGAUCUGACUGCUUGACUUACUCUGCUUACAUGGCUCUCAUCAUGCUACUCCGUGCUCUAACUUCGCCUUCCAUGCUAUGCAUUUGGUCCAAAGUGUCGUUCACUCUUUUCUGUAUUCCAUCCAUUCUACCCACAUAUAUGCUCAGUUGCUCGUUCAUAGUUUCCAUCUCCCGUCUAGCUGAUCGGGCCUCCUGAUACGUAGUCUGUGCUGUGGUUUGAGUGGUACUAAUAUCACGUCGGGCUGUCUGCAUGUUGGUCAUCAAAGACCUUGGAGCUUGCUGGAUCUCCUCUAUAUCGCGAUUGGUUCUUGUGAGAGUCGUAAACAUCUGAUGCAGUAAUUGUGUAUCAGCUCCCAUAGGUGGUGGUGGUGGUGCCUGGGACAUCUCAUCAUCGUUGGGUCCCUGGUCCUGUGCAACCUACUGCUGUCUUCAUCGUUCACUCUCUUGUUCGUCCCGAUGUCUUAUCCGAGCUCGCUCUUGAGCCUCAAAUGUAGUACGCUUUAUUGGAGGGCUGGGUUUUUUAGACACCUCCUCUGGUAAAAUUGUAACACCCCGACAUAUGCCGUUGAUGAGGCUCGGGAAGACCAAAGUGGUACGUCGAUCCCGCCAAGUGUCUAAGGUGUGGAUUUGAUUGUAGAUAAGGGUGGCGAGGUCUAUUUUGCAAUCUCGAACCAGAUGAUAAAUAAAGCCUGUUGUUUGAUCAGGAAAUGUGAUUCUUUGUUAUCUGGGCUUGAUGUUGUGAUACAUGAAGAGCCAUAGUAUGGCUGUAGAUGGUGUGAGCUCUAUUUGAUGCCAUUCAGCAGUUGCUAGGGGCCAUGCAUUUUUCUGUCCCAACAAAACCUCAGCUACUUCAUGCCAGUUGAAUUCGGUGGGGAUGGGAACCACAUUUUCUAUGUUUAGCUGAUAAUAAUCAUGGAUAACAUCUGAGGAGAACAUAAUCCAUUUCCCUUGCAUCCAUGUCUGAUGUAUAUGCUCUAAACCUGGGGUGUCGAUUUUACUAUUGAAAUUUGCAAAGAACUCUCGGACUAGAUUCUCAUAAACUGGGUGAGGUCUCUCAAUUCUGGACCAAAUUCACCAAUUCAAACUCGAGAAAUCUUCAAGUUUAACUGGUCUUUCAGGGUUCAUUGUCCAGUGGUGUAUGAUGUUCUCAUAUCGGGCAAUGGUUUCAGCACUGAAGAACCUCUAUAAUUUAUCUUCGAGUUCUCUAGUUCUCACAGUUCCGGAAUAUGAGCCAACUUUUUCCUUGCCCUUUGAAGUUCUUUUCAGCGGCAUCCUGCAAAAAAUAAUAUUUUCAAUGUCAAAACCAUAGAAUGCAAUGAAAAAGUAUGUCGAAAACACGAAAAUCAACUUUAGAUGCACGAAUUUCCCAAACUUACUCCUAGAUGCAUGUAUAACACGUUAAUGUGCAAUAUUCAAGAUAUGAUGUUCACGAUAGUGGAAAUAUUGCGCAAAUAGGAAAAAUAACAAAAUUAGGCUCAAACAUGCACAUUAUGAAAAUUUGACCCAUGACCGAGUGCGCACUUUUGACCCCGAGCAUCGUUGAAAAAUAUCGAAAUUUUUUCAGGCCAUCUCUGGGCAUAUGGAAGUAUUCAAUGUAGUCUAUCACAUAUUCAAAUUCCAAAUUGAUCGGAUGUCAUUUGGUGAGGUAAAUGAAUGGGCCAAGUAGGUAACGCAGGGUGCUGUGACUUGGCCAUGUAUUGCUACAUUAUGCAAGUUGGGGUUUUAUGUUUUUCAUAGCCUUUCAUGUGAUAUCUCAUUAUCGAAUUGUUAUUCACGUUAAUUGUACGGCAUGACAAAAUCAAAGUUGACAAAAUUGUAUAAAGCUUGUCACUUAGGCAUUUGAUCGAACAUAUUGUGUGCACUAUCAUCAAUUCCAUUCUAUGAAUGAUUGGCAAAGUGUAAUCACCCACAAUGCAUAAACACAAAUCAAUGUUAAAAUCUAAGCCUACUUACACCCUUUCACCUCAAUUUCCAAUUGUAAAUUAUAAGUACCUACAAACUGAAAUCUAAAGGAGGAGAAGAGAUAAAGUUCAUGCCUUGAUUUUGAUAUGAAUGUGUGGAUGUAUGAAGGAAUGAAGGAUGAUUCAUGAUUUUUUUUGGAUGUGUGCAUGUAUUUUGGGGAUUUCGCGCUUAGGGUUUGAGAGAUGAGUAAAAGGGGAAUGGGGAAUAAUUGCCAAGUUACGGGUUAAAAACCCGUAACUGGCUUUGCCAUACGGCCGCAUGGCAUUAAUCCAUGCGGUCGCAUGGUAUGGAGAUCACCCAAAAAGAUUUUUUGGUAGGUAUCCAUGCGAUCGCAUAGACACUUUUUCUAUGUGAUUGCUUAGACAAAUUUUUUUUAACUAAUGAUUAUGAAAAUGUACCACACACCUAAUUCUCAAAAACACGACUCAAAUCACUUUUUCCCAAAUUUUUUGAUUUUCAAUUGGUAAAUUUGAUCUAGCAUCUUCUAUGCUUGAAAAGUUUUGAAAAUAUAUUACGCAAUGUGGGAUAUGUGCUGGCCUAUAGACUUAGUACCAAAACCAAUUUUCGAAUUGAAUUCAAACCACACUUUGGACAAUUUUAUGAAAAAUGAUUGUGUGCCUCGAAAUGCGUGAGUAUCACACCCAAUCACCCAACAACAACUUCAAUCUGUCUUAACUCGUGCUUAAUGUCUGGGGACUCAUGUGAACGGUGCUUAGACUCUAUUGACACAAGGAUGAUCGAUGACUUAACUAAAAAUGCAAGCAUGAAAUGCAAAGAUAAAAUAAAUCAAAGGAUACAGUGGGUUGCCUCCCACUCAGCGCUAGUUUAUAGUCGAUAGCUUUAACUCUUCCACUUCUGCAUCAAUUAGGCAUUCCGAGUUGAACGGUGGACUUUUGCCUGGAGAAGUCGCUGCCCCAGUAGUGUUUCAGUCUUUGCCCAUCAACUGUGAAUGUUCCCUUUGUUUCAUGGCCGGCCUAUAUAGCUCCAUAUGGCGAAACUUUAGUGACAGUGUAAGGGCCCGACCAUAUUGAUCUUAAUUUUCUAAGGAAGAGUUUGAGUCUCGAGUUAUAUAAUAGGACUUUCUGCCCCACUUCGAACUCUCGUCCCUGAAUAUGUAGAUCAUGCCACUUUUUGGUACAUUCUUUGAUAAGCUUUGAGUUUUCAUAGGCUUCCAUUCUAAAUUUAUCUAACUCAUUGAGCUGCAAUAAAUGAUUUUCAUCGGCGGCCUUCAAAUCCAUGUUCAACUAUUUCAUAGCCCAAUAUGCCUGGUGUUCUAUUUCUAGUGGAAGGUGGCACGCUUUUCCAAAAACUAGGCGGAAUGGAGACAUGCCUAUCGGUAUCUUAAAUGCUAUCCUAUAUGCCAACAAUGCAUUCUCCAACUUUUUAGGCCAGCCUUUUUGGGAGGAAUUCACUGUGACCUCUAAUAUUCUCUUCAGCUGUCGAUUGGACACUUCGACUUGCCCGCAUGUUUGUGGAUGAUAUGGGGUUGCUACACGGUGUUUAACUCCAUAUAUACUCAAAAUUGCUCGAAUUGGCGAUUGCUAAAGUGUUUGCCCCCGUCAUUGAUUAUUGCCCGUGGUGUGCUAUAUCUGGUAAAGAUGUAUUUCUUCAAGAACCCAAUUACCAUUUUUGCGUCGUUCGUUGGCAAUGCAACUAUUUCCACCCAUUUCGACACAUAAUCAACCACUACUAGGAUGUACUGAUUUGAAAACGAUGGGGAAAAACGGUCCCAUAAAAUCGAUUCCCCAGACGUCAAAUAUCUCGACCUCCAAUAUGCUGUUUAAUAGCAUCUCAUUUCUUCUUGAGAUGUUUCUAGUGUGUUGACAUCUAUCACACCUCUUAACAAACUCAAAGGUGUCUCUAGACAAUGUAGGCCAAUAGAAUCCUGAUUCUAAGAUCUUAGCGACAAUCUAUGAAGCUCUCAGGUGCCCCGCAUAGGCAGAUGAAUGACAAUGCUCAAGAAUUUCAGGCCCUUCAUCUUCAGGUAUACACCUUCUCACAAUUUGAUCAACCCCUAGCCUAUAAAGAAUAGGGUCUUCCCAAAAAUAAUAUUUCAGUUCGACAAAGAACUUCUUCUUCUAGUGACUUGAGUAAUCUGAUGGUGGGAUUGACUUAGUCAAAUAAUUGAUGUUAUCUGCAUACAAUGGGGCUUCUUCCACACUGAACAUUUGCUCAUCUGGAAAAAUUUCAUUGAUUUCCACUGACACCUCUGGUUCUUCUUGUUCUAAUCUCGAUAGGUGAUCUAUCACCACAUUUUGACUACCCUUCUUGUCCCUAAUUUCAAUGUCGAAUUCUUGCAGCAGUAUUACCCAACGGAUUAAUCUCGGCUUAGCAUCUUUAUUUGUUAUUAGAUACUUCAAUGUAGCAUGAUCUGUGUAGACUAUGACCUUAGACCCCACGAGAUAUGAUCUGAAUUUGUCAAAGGCAUAGACCACCACCAAGAGAUCCUUCUUAAUGGUUACGUUGUUGAUCUGGGCAUCAUUCAAUGUUCCGCUUGAGUAAUAGAUCUCAUGGAAGAUCUUGUUCUUUCGUUGUUCCAAUACUGCACGUACGAUAUGAUCAUUGACAUCACACAUUAACUCAAAAGGCAACUCCCAAUCAGGUGCUACAAUUACCAGCACUGAUGUAAGUUUCUCCUUCAAAGUGUUGAAAGUUGUCAGACAUUCCUCAUUAAAUUCAAAUGGCACAUCUUUCAUUAACAGGUUGUAGAGGGUCUUGGUGAUUUUUGAAAAAUCCUUUAUGAAUCUCCUGUAAAAUCCAGCAUGUCCCAAGAAGCUGCAAAUCCCUUUAACUGAUGUUGGUGGCGGUAACUUUUUAAUAACUUGAAUCUUUGCUUUGUCCACCUCAAUCCCUUUUGUUGAGACCCGAUGCCCAAGUACAAUCCCUUCUUGCACCAUGAAGUGAAAUUUUUUUCCAGUUUAGUACUAAAUUUGUUUCUUUGCAUCUUUUUAAUACUAGAUUCAAGUGUUCCAAUCACUCGUCAACGAAGACCCGAAAAUCAAGAAGUCGUCCAUAAAUAUCUCUAUAAAUUUCUCUACCAUGUCUGAGAAAAUCUCCAUCAUACGAUGUUGAAAAGUGGUAGGGGCAUUGCAAAGGUCGAAAGGCAUCUUGCGGUAUGCAAAAGUACCAUACGGGCACGUGAAUGCAGUUUUCUCUUGAUCGUCUGGUGCCAAUGGUAUCUGAUUGUAACCUAAAUACCCGUCAAGAAAGCAAGUAAUGUGAGUGGCCUGCCAAGCUCUCUAGCAUUUGGUCUAUAAACAGAAGGAGAAAGUGAUCUUUUCUUGUUGCUGUAUUGAGUUUGUGAUAAUCAAUACAAAUCCUCCAUCUUGUGACUAUUCUGGUCAGUAUCAGCUCAUUCUUCUCAUUGGGUACUAUCGUUCUUCCUCAUUUCUUUGACACCACCUGAAUUGGGAUAGUCCAUGCACUGUCUGAUAUCGGAUAGAGAUUCUAGCAUCUAGAAGUUUGAGUAUCUCUGCUCUGACGACUUCCUUCAUAUUUGGGUUCAACCUUCGCUGACUUUCUAUGGUUGGCCAAAAAUUCUCUUCCAUAAGAAUCUUAUGCAUGUAUAGUGAAGGGUUGAUCCCUUUGAUAUAUGUUAUGGUCCAUCCAAUUGCAGUCUUAUUCUUCUUGAGUACUCUAAGCAGUUUCUCCUCUUCCACUUCGCUGACUAUGUUCGAGAUAAUCAUUGAAGUAUACACGACUCCCCCAAGUAUGCAUAUCUGAGAUGAGGUGGUAGCUGCUUGAGUUCUAAUUUCGACGGCUGCUAAAUGGACGAUAGUGGUUUUGUGGGUCCUGUCCCAAGCUCCUCAAAAUAUCUUUUUCGUGUGUACGGUGGGUUAGUAUCUAAAAAUCUUGUAUAUGUUUCCAUCUCCACUGAAUUGGAGUGCGUUGAUUAUGAAUGUGCAAUGCAAACUUUAUACGCAUCUAAUGGGUUAUGAAGCAAGAAUGAGUUUUGGACCACCUUGUCAAUCACAUCAAUCUAGAAAUAGUUAUAUGUCUCUGUAUGCAGUUUUAUUGCCUUGAAGACAUUAAACGAGAUCUGCUCUUUUCCCUGUCUCAAAAUUAAUUGCCCGUCCUGAACGUCGAUUAAGGUUCUUCCUGUUGCCAAAAAUGGUCUGCCCAGUAUCAAUGGAAUGUCUUUGUCCUCUUCCAUGUCCAAAAUUACGAAAUCCGCAAGGGAUUUGAAAAUUUCCACCUUGACAAGUACGUCUUCAAUUAUUCCCCUGGGAUGUGUUAAUGACCUGUCAGCUAGCUGUAGCGUUACAAUAGUCAUCUUAGCCUCUCCUAAGCUAAGCUUUCUGAAAAAGAGAUAAAGGCAUUAAAUUUAUACUUGCACCAAGAUCACACAAAGCUUUAUCAAAAUAAACUUUACCAAUCGUACAAAGAACAGUAAAACUCCCUCGAUCUUUCAAUUUUGGUGGGAUCUUUUUCUAAAUUUUGGUACUGCAUUCCUUUGUUGGCAUUAUUGUCUCAUGGUCCCCUAGCUUGCAUUUAUUUGAUAGUAUGUCCUUCAGGAACUUUGCAUAGCUAGGCAUUUGGAACAGUGCAUCGACGAGUGGGAUAUUGAUAUGGAGUUUCUUGAAAACUUCAAGAAAUUUCUUGUGUUGUUGCUCCAACUUUUGCUUCUUUAGCGUUGUGGAAACGGUAUCGAGUUGCUUUACCCUACGUUUUGCUUGGUUUUUCAACUGCGGCGAAUUCCUCUAUCUGAUCAUCAUGCUCCAUUAGUUCUUCUAUCGUUGGAGAUUCUAUUUCAUGAUGUACACCUGACUUUUUACAUGAAUUUCUGGUAGCUGCUUCCACUUCGAGUUGUAAUUGCCCUAGCAUGCUCCUUCGAUUUAUUUUCGUGUCACUCGAUAGACUGGUUGGGGCUCGGCCAGUCAAAGCAACUGCCAACUAUCCCAUUUGAGUCUCUAAAUUUUUUAUUGUUGCAUUCUGGUCCUGAAGAGUGGCUUCGAUUUUCCUCAUGAAUUGAUUGUUAACUUCCAUAUACUGAUUAGUUUUCUCCAUGAAUUUAACAAACAUCUCUUCCAAUUGAGACUUUUUCUCUGGCUGCUGAUAUUGACCCUGCGGUUCAUUCUGGUUUUGAUUGCUCCAAGAGAAAUUUGGGUGCUUUGUCCAACUUGAAUUGUAUGUUUCCCCAUAUGUGUUGUUUUGCUGCCGCUGUCCCCAUUGAGUAAAAUCUGCCUGCUCUACUCCUUGUACCAAGAUUAGACAUUCUGUUGUUACGUGUUCAGCUCCAUAUUCUUCACAACUGGCCAUCUUCGACUGUGCUGUGGUGGUUGAUUGUGUCAUGUUCUCUACCUUGUGAAAUAAUAGAUCAAUAUUUGCUGACAAGGUAGAGUAAACGUCCAUUUCAUAAACCCUCGGUGUUUUCUUUUGCACUGCUCAUUCCGAUGUCCACACAGCUCAAAUGGUAGCCAUAGUCUCAAAAAGUUUCAGUGCCUCAUCAAUUGUCUUUGUGGACAACGAUCCAUUAGAAGAUGAAACAACCAUGCUUUUGAAGGUUGGGAGUAAUCCCUCAUAGCAAUAUUGGACUUGAAGUCCCUUGCUAAUUCCAUGGUGUGGACACUUUCACAGCAUAUUCUUGAACCUAUUCUAGGCUUCAUUGAAAUUCUCCAAGUCACCUUAGCGAAAAAUAAAGAUGCCGUGCUUGAGCUUCGCAAUCUUAGUAGGUGGGAAGAACUUAGUGUAGAAUUUCUGGGCUAGAUCAUUCCAUGUGGUGAUGCUUGCGAUUGGUUGUGAAUCUAGCCAUUCAAUUGCCUUGUCGUGCAGUGUAUGUGGGAACAACCUUAAUCUUAUUGCAUCGUCUGAGAUUUCUUGAUAUCUAAAGUGUUGGCAUAUCUCCAGAAAAUGAGAAACAUUUAUAUGUGGAUUCUCUUCAGUCCUUCCACAGAAUUGAUGGCUAUUUUCAAAUAAUUGUAUCACAUUAGCCUUCAGUUGGAAGUUCGGCUGUCCAAACGGUGGAUAUACGAUGCUUGACUGGCUUUGAAUUAUUUGAGGGGUCAUGAAAUCUCCCACGAGCAUAUUUUCUUCAUCCGCUAUCCCUUCUUCAUUGGCCUAAAAAAUUGGAUUAUUCUGCACAUUAGCCAUUGUUGAUGUGCCUCUCUAUUUUCUCGCUGCCUUCGAUAUAGAGUUCAUUCGAUUUCUGGAUCAGUUAGGAUCAAUUCUCCUUCAGCAGACCUUAACGUGUAAAUCUGUGAGAAGAGUUAAAAGAAGUGAUUAGAUGUUAAAAUGAAAUAUUAAAUAGAACAAAUAAAAAUGAAAUUGAAUAAAAUGAAAUAAAACACAACAAAAUAACAGAAAAUGCAAAGAUGAAUGUUCGAAUUAGUGCCAAUAUAAAUAAAAUUAAACGGAUACCCAAUCCUUGACAACAGCGCCAAAAACUUGUUCACGAAAUAUUUCUUUAGACUUAAAAUUACCACAAAUGUAUGGUUCGUUAACAAGUAAUACAGUGAAAUGUUAAGUUUCGAGUUUCCUCCUACAGAGACUAAGUAGUUCAAUUCUAACUAUCUUUUCCUUAACCGAAACAAAAUUUUCAAAGCAGGAAUUUAUUCUCGAAAAAACCCUAAUUAUUGAAACUUGAUGAUUGGAAUGAACUCAAUAUGCAAAACAAUAUUUUAAAGAAUUAAAAUGCAAAUUAUAUGUUUAGAACAUAAAUUGGUUGUAUUCCAUGAAAAUUAAAAGCACUAGGAUCACGAAUUCCCAUGCAACGAUCAUUCUUAACCCUAAUUUCUCAAAAUGACAACACGGUUGAAUUAUUGACGAAUCAAUGCUAAUAAUUCUAUUCAACACACACUCUCUCUCAAGUGUAUUGAACAUAAUCUUGUACACCACCGGCCUAUAUCUCUAUGAGAAAUGCAUAUAUAAGAAUGCAUGUAGUUUUAUGAACAUCUAAAGAUUCAUGCAAAAUAUAGGGGUAUAUCUCUAUCCCAUAUCGGAUCCUAUGACGAUUUAUACCUUGUCAACUUUAUUUCUUUUCUCUUGAACAGAUGAAAUAAACCACCAAACAUCACAUAAUUAUGUGCACUUAAUUAUGGAGGAAAAUUAUUGUAUAUAAAUUAUUCAAAUAUUCAAAUACGUGUUUAUUGCCAAAUUGCAAACUAGAAAUUAAAGAAAUCACAUCAUAUGGUACAUCAAAAUCCUAGUACAUGAAAACCUAACUUAUCAUGGAGAAAAUUACAUAAUACAAGAUAAAUUCUAGAAAAAGCAUCAUCGGGUUAUGAAUUUGCUUGAAAUCUUGAUGAUCUUCGUGUAAAUCCUUGUUAAUUUGGCUCAAAAUCCUCUCCAAGAUGUUUUUUCUUGCCUCCGAAUACGUGCUGCCUUGAAAUAUGAUGCCUCUAGGUUUUUAUAUUGCGUCCAAAUCGUGUUCCAAUAGAGUUAUAACGCAAAACGAAAACUGUAGUAUCGCCCCGAAUUUUUAUACCAUGCGGCCAUGUGGUUGAACCUAUUUUGCGGUUUUAAUUCUUGGGUGGGGGUUGUGCGGCCGCAUGGUUAUAACACCAUGCGACCGCAUGGAUAAUGAGUUUCCAAUUUGUGUCGUUUUAGUCCCCAAACUCAAUCUUCUUGUUUAUUGAUCUCUUUUCUUCGACUAUUUUAUUCCAUCAUCUUAUAUUGACCUCUAAUUGGUACUUGGCACUAUCAAUUCUUCGAUUUCUCCUUUGGCUCUCUUCUGGAUAUUUGCACUUUGGUCGCUGAACUAUCACUUAGAUUUGUUUUGGUCAUUUUUGCUUCUUUUUCUCGUGAAUUUCAUCAACUCCAUCAGAAAACCCUACAAUCCAAGACUCCAGCGAAUUUAGGUCACAUUUCAAAUAUUUUGCUCGUAUUUUAGUCAUAUUUGUGAGUUAUAUAAGUGCAUAAAAUGCGCUUAUCAGUAAGUUGUUGUAAAGUUUUUACGAUGUAACUUAUUCAUUGAUUUUUUUUUUUAACAUUCUUUGCUUGCUUUCUUAAUUUUUUUCUAAUUUUUUUUCCUUUAAUUUUUGCAAUAAGCGUUUGUUUUUUUUUCCGUCCAGCUAAAUUUUAAUGUGUAAUACAAAUUUUUAAAAAUUUUAAUUAUUUUUUGUCAAGAGCAAAAUUUUUAUAAUAAAAGCUAUAUAAAAUUUAUAAAACAAUUGAUUGCCAAAAAAAUUAAGAAAAAAGCCUUAGAUGAUUAAACUUUCAAUCACAUAAUAACUUACAAAAUUAGAAAUACUAGGUCGAACUAAUCCAUAAAGGAAAAUAGUUGUCUCAACAAUUAAAGCAAAUAAAUAAAUAAAUCAUAAUUCAUAUAUUAUCAGUAGGUGGUGACAUACUAAUCAUUGUUGCUGUUCAGCUUGUUGUGGAGACAUGCUGACUUGACUCGAUACGAACUUAUGCAUUAGUGCCUCAAAUUGAGAAAUCUUAGCAUGCAUAUCCAAUAAUCCUUGCUCUUGCUUUUGUAUUUGCUCUCGAAGGGCUAUUGAUUUAGUAUCAAUCGAUGUCAAAUAAGCAGAGUUUCUUGAGACAGGUUUGGGACCAUGUCCAAGUCCUCUAAUGUAACCUCUAGAUUUUCCUAAAACUUCUUGCAUAAUCUCAAGUUCAGUGGGGGCCUCAGAUCCCUCUGGAAUAGGUUUCUCUUUAAUUUGAAGCAUCCUCUCCCAUAUAUAAGUAAAAAAGAAGUAGAGAGAAUACAAGUUAAUAUAUAUAUAUAAAAUGUCUAUAACAACGAAUAAAUUGUUAAUAUACUUACAUAUCUUGUGUGCUUCAUCAUUUACCCCCCCUUCUCACUGUAAUGAGUCUCAUAAUAAAGUUCUAUUUCUCCUUGUACAUUGUCUUUAGUAAUUGAUUUCUAUUUGAAAUAAUAUAUAUCAUGUUAUAUAUUUGUCUUCAUAAAAAAAAAUGUAUUACCUUUUCUUGAAGACAUGCAACAAAUGAUUUUGAUACACCACGAUGAUUAUAUUUAAUGCAGUUGUGGCUUGCUAGAUUACGUGUAGAUAGUGCAUGUAAUUAAUUUAUAUAUAAAUAUAAUUAACUCAUUAUAAUUUAUUAUUUUUAAUUAUAUUAAUUAUUUUAAGAUAACAUCUAAAUUACAUUAUUCUUAAUAUUUACAAGUAUAUGCAUUUUUAAUUAAAGUUACUUGAAAUUCAGGGGUACACCAAUAUUGAGACAACCAGUCCCAAUCAACUUGCUUUAUGCCAGUUGGGUAGUUCUUCAUUGCAUCAUCUGAUGUUUUUCCAUUGAAAUAUUUCUCUUUGAGUCUACAUCUAUAAUCAUGAUAUCUUGUCGCUAAAGUAUCUUUCACAUAUUUAUGGACAUGCUCAACUGUCAAAUCAAACUUGAAUUUUGCCUACCAAAAAAGAAAUGUGUAUAUUAUUUAUUUAAAUAUGGGAAACUAAAAACUAUUCUACAAAGUUUUGUAAAAAUGAAUUUGUUUAUGACUUAAAAAAGCUUGAUCAUAUAAUUUAUUUUUCUCUUCAUUGGGUAUGUCGAUCCAUCUUUUGUAACAAGUGGAGCAAAGGAGCGAACGAGCCACAUUCACUAGCCAAACGUGCUUGCUGAUUUCCAAUAGCUCUUUCUAGUUUUUAAGAAAUCUCCCAUGAUAUUUUUCCAGCUGUACUAUCAAUGUCAUCAGUGCACUUAUCUCUUGUAGGACCACGUCCCUUCCUCUUCAAAGAAUGAGAAUCUAUGAAAUAAUUUACUCUAAGGAUCAGAAUAUAUAAACAAAAAAUUAGAUUCUAUCAAUUAAAUGUAUACAUUGGGAUGGUUUUAUAUUAUAAACAUAAAGAUAAAUUGUUACCAUUGGAAUUGAGGAUGGUCUCAUCUGCCAAUGUGGUUUUUUGUGAUGAAUUAAGUUGUGGCUGGGGCUGAGAUAAUGGGGCAGGAACCUGUAGAGGUUGAGGUAAAGGAGUAGGAACUUGAGCAUUACUAGUCUUUGAGAAUGAGGAAGAGAUAUUAGCUUGAAGAGUAGUAUGGGUUAAUGUACCUUUGCAUGAUGCCUUUGACGAGAACACAUCUGAAGUGGCUCAUAAGAUGUAGUAAAAACUCUAUUUUUCUAGCCAAUUCUUGUUCGAAAAGCCGUUAUCUACCAAGAAAACCCCCAAAAGAGAGAGAGAGAUAUCAUUUUUAACCAAAAAAUGGGUCUCCAUUCUUGCAAAUUCUUGUUCGAGAAGCCAUUAUCUACCAAGAGACAUAAAUGAUAAUAAAAUCUUGAAGACAAUUAAAUUUAGUUAUUUUUAAAAAAAGAAAAUAAAAUGAUUUAUUUCUUGACGAUAGGACAACUUCUUCUUAAUUUUCAUGGCUUUUCUCUGCAUUUAAUUCUUUGAUCCCAACUGGAUAUCUUUAUUUCAGUUGUAGACAAACCCAUCUAUUAUUUUCACCAUUAACCAAACAAAAAAUAAUGCACCACUCUUUUCAUUCACAAUGCCUUCCAAAUAACGUAAUGAUGUCAACUUAACUCCUAAAAGAAAUCAGUUGUCUUGCAGCUUCAUUGAUGAGCUCAUUUUAGUUAAAAGAUGACUAACCCACAGAUAUCUUCAAGAAUGGUGAGGAAAUUAUAUUACACAUCCUAAAUGUAGUCCACCUAUAAGCUAUACAUGACAUGAUUAAUGAACUAAAAUUUGUACAAUAUGGCCGUUGGUAUAUAUAUAUACACACACACACACACACACACACACACACACACANNNNNNNNNNNNNNNNNNNNNNNNNNNNNNNNNNNNNNNNNNNNNNNNNNNNNNNNNNNNNNNNNNNNNNNNNNNNNNNNNNNNNNNNNNNNNNNNNNNNNNNNNNNNNNNNNNNNNNNNNNNNNNNNNNNNNNNNNNNNNNNNNNNNNNNNNNNNNNNNNNNNNNNNNNNNNNNNNNNNNNNNNNNNNNNNNNNNNNNNNNNNNNNNNNNNNNNNNNNNNNNNNNNNNNNNNNNNNNNNNNNNNNNNNNNNNNNNNNNNNNNNNNNNNNNNNNNNNNNNNNNNNNNNNNNNNNNNNNNNNNNNNNNNNNNNNNNNNNNNNNNNNNNNNNNNNNNNNNNNNNNNNNNNNNNNNNNNNNNNNNNNNNNNNNNNNNNNNNNNNNNNNNNNNNNNNNNNNNNNNNNNNNNNNNNNNNNNNNNNNNNNNNNNNNNNNNNNNNNNNNNNNNNNNNNNNNNNNNNNNNNNNNNNNNNNNNNNNNNNNNNNNNNNNNNNNNNNNNNNNNNNNNNNNNNNNNNNNNNNNNNNNNNNNNNNNNNNNNNNNNNNNNNNNNNNNNNNNNNNNNNNNNNNNNNNNNNNNNNNNNNNNNNNNNNNNCCCUAGAUCCAAUCGAUUUAGGUUGUAAACGCCUUUAAUAUAUCUAAUGCAUUUGAUUUUGGCGAGAUCUAUUAUUUAUUUAAAUUAAUUUUGUAAUAAAUAAUAUUAAAUAAUAGAAUCCGAAGAUCCAAUUUUUAGGUAAUCUGUUAAUCACAAGGAGUUGUGAUUGUGAGAUACAAAUUACAUAUAAUUGAAUCUUAAAUUAUUUGUGGUCGUAAGUAAUGACAAGAUACAAAUAUCGUUAUUACGGAUAAAACAUCAUGUGUGAAAUUUCUUACUUGUGAAGUAAGUAGUUGAUCUUACAAGCUAAAGUGUGAAGUAGCUGAUCUCACGAGCUAAAGUGUGGUGACACUUAAAUGAACACGUGGAUAUUUUGUUAUAGAACAAAACAUUGGAGACCCGCUAAGAGAUUCCACAUGGAUAACUAUCUGAGUGUCAGUGGCUAAUCUCUAACGUUCGGUAGUGGAAUUGGUCCUUUGACUUGAGGUCGUCAUGAUAUCUUAUAUGAGGACAUUCAUACUUUGGCGGGUGUUGGAUGUUGCUCUGAAAGGGGCCUCUAAUACGACAUCGUUCGGGUAUGUCAAGAAUCGUAUGAAGGUUGUGAUUGAUCAAUAAAGGAUUCGUCACCCUUAGAUAGUAGGAGAUUAUGAUCUACGUUUCAUUCAAUUAAGUCGAUGAUGAAAUCCUUGGCCAAGGUGUACUCAUAAGUCGAAAAGGAGUUUUCGAUUUAUAUUGACUUAAUAGUGGAGUGAAAGAUAUGAUCAAUGAUCGAGUUUGACACAAUUUCAUAUCUCGUAAUUGAUUGGAUCGUAUUGACGAAGGGAUAAUAGUUUCACGAUAAACGGACGAAUUUGGUUUUGUCAUACCACGUGACAUUUCCCGUCACAUGUACUGCCUUGACACAUUGCUAGAUGUCAAUCAGGGACGGCGAAUGUGAAUUGACAAUAAAUUAAAAGGGUGUAUUAAUUUAUCAAUUUUGAUUAGAUCAAAAUAAUAUUUCACGACGUUAGGUAUCGUGGUCGGGAACCUAAUGGGUCGCACACAAAAGAGAAUUGGAAGACUGCAAAUUGUCAAUUGAUUAAUUUAACAAUCGUUGGAUAAAUUAAUUAAUUGAAUUUGUUAUGUAUAAUCCCGAAUUAAUUAAUUGGAUUAAUUAAUUCACGGGCGGGGUUUGAUUAAUUGGAUUAAUUAAAUAUUUGACCGGAUCGGGCCGGGUCCGUUUGGGUUUAUAUAUAUAUGCAGCUAGGGUUUGAGGUCCAUAAGUUAUUCAUUAUUCUUGCUAGCACAAGAAUGAAACCCUAGCAGUUGCUGUCUACUCUCUGUGUGGAUUUCAUUGGAGGCUGGACAAUUGGAUAGCUGUGGGAGGCAGAUUCAAGCUGUUGGAAAGGAAUAACGCGAAAGAGUUUGCAAAUCACAAAUAAGGGUAUAUUUCUCAUCAUAGGUUUUAUCUAAAUACAAAACUGAAUCCUGAAUGGGAAUUGAAACUUGUUAAAUUCCGCUGUGCAUAUUUAAGUAAAUUCCCAACAAUUGCUAAUUCCAGGGCCACAUGUACCAGGAAGAGAUAUUGAUGUUUAUUUGAGACCACUAGUAGAUGAGUUGAAAGAAUUAUGGAAAGUUGGUGUUGACACGUUUGAUGCUUAUAAUGGUCAAAUGUUUUCUAUACGUGUAGCUAUAAUGUUGACCAUUAAUGAUUUGCCUGCAUAUGGGAACCUAUCAGAAUGGAGCACUAAGGGAUACAAAGCUGGUCUAAUAUGUAAUGAGAAUACUUCCCACGUAGGUUAUGUAAUAAAAUAUGCUUUAUGGGGCAUCGGUGUUAUUUGCCACUUAACCAUUCUUGGAGAAAAAGGUAAAUUACAUGAUGGGAAAUGGAAAUUACGACCACCACCAAAAAAGUUAUCAGGAGAUGAUAUUUUGAAUCAAUUACAAGUUGUGAGGUGUGGGAAACAUGGAAAGUACCCAAGUAAUAAAGAUAGAAAAAGUAAACGUACUCUAGCUGAGAUAAACUUGACGAGAAAAAGCAUUUUCUUCGAGUUGGAGUAUUGGUCUAACUUGAAACUAAGACACAAUUUAGAUAUAAUGCAUAUUGAGAAGAAUGUGUGCGAUAAUAUUGUUGGAACAUUGUUCAAUGUUGAAGGGAAGACAAAAGAUACGGAUAAGACUAGAUUGGAUUUGCAAGAUAUGAAGAUUGGGUGUGUACUGCAAUUGUAGAGCUAUGUUGUUUUUUUAAAUAAUUAUGUACAAGAACAUUGAAUAUCAAUGAUUUAGAGAAGCUGGAAAAAGGGAUUAUUAUAAUUUUAUGUAAACUAGAACGAAUUUUCCCACUGGCAUUUUUUGAUGUAAUGGUUCAUUUAGCUAUUCACCUACCUGAAGAAUUAAAACUUGGAGGUCCCGUUGCAUUUAGAUGGAUGUACCCAGUUGAAAGGUAAUUGCUAAUAUUGCAUACAUAUAUACUUGUUCAUUGACUUAUUACAGAAUAUUAGGUUGAUAUAAGAGUUGUGUUAAGAAUAAAGCUUGACCCGAAGGAUCAAAUGCUGAAGCAUAUAGUGUUAAUGAGUCUUUGAAUUUUUGCUCGAUGUAUCUCAAUGACAUUGAAACAAGAUUUAAUCGAACUAAAUGUAAUGACGAUGGUGGUACUUCAUCUACAAGCUUAGGUCAUGCAGAACUAAAGUUACUUUCAAAACAAGAAAUUGAUAAAGUGCAUUGGUAUGUCCUAAAUAAUUGUGAUAAAGUUCGACAAUAUUUAGAUUAAGUUCUCAAUCAACUUUCAAAAAUUGUUUUGCUAUUAACUAUUAAUGUGUUGUAGUAUUUAAUUGCAUCUCCUUUCAUAGCGAACACAUGUAGCUAUUGCAACAACAUCACAACAAUUUGGAAAAAGACAAGAAAAAUUGUUUCACGAAUGGUUUGAUUCACAUGUAAGUUAUAAUACGUGUCUUUAUUAUUUAUUAAAGCAACAUAACAUUCGCAUCUGAAGGUAUAUUGAUUAAUAUGUUUUUAUUAGCACAAAUAAGGAGAUUAUAUAAUAAAAAAUAUUCAGGUGUAAACAAAGAAUUGUAUUCAUUAACAUGUAAACCGGAUUUUAGAAUAUUUUCCUAUUUGGGUUUUAUUGCUAAUGAGGUACGAUUCCUUAUUAAAGAUCGAGAUGGUUGUCGUACAACACAAAAUAGUGGAGUGAUGGUGUCAGGAGAUGAGAACUUCAACUUUUUCGGUAUACUUUGUGAUGUUAUUGAGUUGGUAUAUGUUUUUUUACUAUCGCGUCACUUUGUUCUAGUGUGAUUGGUACGAUAAUAAUCCAAAGCAAAAAAGAGCAGUCGUAGAUUAUCAUCUUACUUCUAUCAAUGUGAAUUGCAAAUAGUACAUGGAUGAUUCUUAUAUACUUGGCAUCCAAGCACAACAUGUAUUUUAUAUGGAUGAUGUUUUGUUGGGUCCACAAUGGAAGGUACUGGAAAAGGUACAACACAGAGGCAUAUGGGACAUCCCUUAAAAAAAUGAUGGUGGUAGUACGCAAGUAAUAUUUCAAGAAAAUGAAUCAUCAGAUAUUGUCUUACCAAUACAACAGGAAGAUCUUGACUCUCAAGUAUGCCAUAGAAGAGAUGUUGAUCCAGAUAUUAUUGAAAAUGAAGCACUGCAAAUAGAUGUGGAAUCAAUAAAUAAAAAUAUGAAUAAUGUUAUAUAUGAUACUUCAAAAGAGGAAGAUGAUACAUUGAAUGAAUAUUACAAUGAAGAUGAGAAAUCUCUAGAUGGUAACCAUGAUGAUGAUGAUGAUAUUGGUAAGUAAAACAUUCUUUAUAUAUAUAUAUAUAUAUAUAGGUUUUUUUUUGGUGUAAUGUUUUUCUAUUUUAUUUUUAAAUGAUUACAUUUUUCACUUUCCUCUACAGAUUCGAGUACUGACAAUGCAUCAACUGAUAAUUUGUAAGAAUUUUUAUUCACAGUUAAGUUUAGAUUAAUCGACUAAUGAGAUAUAUUUGAUUUAUUAUUGUGAUGAUUGUUGAUCUUGUACUCAUAUUCAAUGUGAGAUAUUUGAAUAUUUUCUUUAAGCUAAUAUUUCAUUACCUUUUAUAUGUAGAUGUUUGACUAAAGUUAUAGAGCUUUUCUUUACAGGAAUUCUUAUUUAACCAAAGAACAUAUUGAUGGUCAGUUGAAAGUAUAUCUUAAGAGUGAAGAAUGUUAUUUGUGUGUCUCGUGAGUUUUGUUAUUUCUUUCAUAUUUCUAGUUCUAUUUUCUAAUUUCAAGUUUGGUGAAUCAUUCUAAGUAGUCUAAUAUUGAAAUUACUAGUCCUAUAGUUUAUUUGUAUUAGUUUUGAUUAUGGCGGUAACUAAGUUUGUAGAUAAUACCUUGAUCUAUAUUUAUUUGGUUGAUAAUAAAGUCACGAGUUAUUUCUAGUUAAGUUAAAUUUUCAUAUAAAUGUGCACCACAAUAACGAUUCCAUUUCCAAGAAAGAAAUCAAAAAUUGUGUUUAAAAUAGAAUCUACGACAUACGUAAAUAAAAAUAGAAUCAAUUAGGCGAUAAUUGUACAUGCUUGGAGUAAUAAACCUUGUGUUGCGGAAUAAAUCUAACUACAAGCACAACUUGACACAUAAAUAAAAGUUCAUUAUCACAAAAUACUUUUCGUAAUAAUAUUCUAUAUCAUAAAAUAAAAUAUGUGACGUAUAUAAAUAAUCAUGAAAUAAAUUAGGCAAUAGCUAUACUCGUUGCACAAAUGAUGGCGCAAUAGACUAUUAGUGUUGCGAAAUAAAUUUAAAUACAAACAUCACUCGUUAUAUAAUAUAUUGUACUACAAAUAUUGAAUAUAAAAUACAUUAUGCGACAUAUCAAAUACAUUUAAAACAUAUUUCACGACAAACAUGCUUGUUAUUAAAAAUAUAGUCCUACGUGCAUGUGCUGUUGCAAAAUAAAAUAGGUAGCAAAAGUUACACGCUUAAAAGAAUAUUCGCAACAAAUAUUUUUCUUGUAAAAACUUUAUUGAAAUAAUUGUUGCAACAAAUUGUCGUGUCGCCUUUUUAUUUUUUGGCGACAUAUAUGCAUCGCGAGGACAUUAUAAUUACAAUUAUCGUGUUGCUGUUUCAUUUUUUUUUUGUGGCAAAUAAAUAAUGUUGCGAUUUUGUUAAUGUGAUGAAUGAUUGAAGGUAGUUGCAAAAUAUAUUUGAUGACUCAACAUUCGCAACAAACAUGUAUCUCAUAAAAACUUUAUUGGAAUAUUCGUUGUGAUAAACAAACUUGUCGCACUUUAAAUUUUUCACGACAUAUACAUUGUGACACAUUAUGGCUACAAAUAUUGUGUUGCCAUUUCGUAUUUUCUGUGUUACACAACUAUAGUCGUGAUUUUGUUAUUGCGAUGAGCUAUUGAAAAGUGUCAUAGAAACAUUUUGCAACCUAUAUAGAGCGACAAUACCCGCAACAAAUGUAUUGUUGUUGCUAAAUUACUUUUACAACAAAAUCCCAAUUUUUGCAGCAACAUUUUUUUUGUCUCGAAAUCGAUUAUUUUUUGUAGUGUAUGUAACCAUUGUUAUAAUGAAAAAAGGGAUUUGAUUAAAGAAUAGUUUAAAUUGUGACAUAAGCUGAAGAUUUCGAGAACAGAAAAAGUCAUAUCUUGAAAUUUAAAGUGGGAAAUAGCUAAAUUUUUCUAAGACUUGGCAAAAUGAAAAGUGGAGAAUAUCAUAUUUUGAUCCUUAGGAUAUUAUUUCAAGUAUUGUUUUAAUGGUUUAUUGAUCAGGUUGAUAACAGAUUUUUCUGGUAUUCAAUAAUAUAUAAAGUUUUUGAGGUUUAGUAAGUGGAUGCAUAUUUAAUUUAAGUGUUAAGAUUAUUAGUUCAGUUAAAGAGAGCUCCUCUUACUACAGUUGAAGAGAUAUUGACAUAGGAAAGGUCAAGGAAAGUCCAAGAACAAGAAAGAAUGAGUUUUAUGUAGUUAAAUUAGUACACUAUUUAAAGGUUGGGAAAGCGUUCAAUAGAAGAGGCAUCAUGAGCAUAUGAGGGUCAAAUAAGCUACACACUCUAUACCUGCAUAUAUCUAAAUUCUGGUUGAUUGAAUUUCGAGGACGAAAUUAUUUGAAGGAGGUAAGAUUGUUACACUCCGUUCAUUUAUAGUCGAAGUCAAAGAAUGAUUUAGUCAAAGCUAAAGUCAAAUAAGGACUUAUAGUUGAAUGAAUGAUUUUAAUAGGACUUAAAUUGCAAUUACAAAUACUUGACGCUAAAAAUGAUAUAGUAACAAAAUCUAGGAAUUUAGUUUCUAUUGUUGAAAAUUUAACGACGAAAUGUUUGUGUUAUAUAAAGAUUGGUGACUUGACUUGCAAUUGUUCAAUAGUUAUCCUUUAAACCUUAUAUAUAUAACAUAUCUAUCCAUCUUUCUCAUUUGGGGUAAAGAAAAACGAGACCAUGGAGAAAAGGAAGCAAGGAAGAAAGAAGAGAAAUAGAAAAAGAAGGAAGAGGUAGGUUCCAAUUUUUCAAACCUAGGUUCUCAAUUUCUUAAAUUUUUCCUUUAAUUUAGUGAGGUAAGUAUGAGAAUGUGAAAUUAUCUCCUUUAGGGGUUAUGGAACUUAUCUUUAAAGCUUCGAAGUUAGCAAGAAUUAGGUGUUAUUGAUUUGUAUUCAAGGUUUUAAAUAAGAAUAUAGCAAGGACAUGUUUAUUGAAAAUUGGAUUUGAAGAAAGUAGAAUUUUGGAAAUGGGUUUUGAGAUAAAAGAUAUAUUCUUUGAGUUUCUUGUGAUUAUAUGAUGCUAAACACUUAAAUUAAGGGUUUGAGUUUGGAAUUCUCCAUUUUUAAAGCAAUUUUCAAGGUAGUAUUGUACAGGUGUUAAUUCUGAAAUUCUGCCAAGAAAAUAGCUAUUUCUGUCAAUGGUUUUGAUGCCAGAUUUGAAUAUACAGAAAUUGUUACUAGAUUUCUAUAUUCUGGAGUUUUAGUGCUGUUUUUGUCAAACUUGGAUUUCGAAAUUUUUAAAGGUUUGAAUGAAUUUAUAUGACAAUAUUGAAGUCUAUGUAUUGGACUAACAAUGUAUAGGGGUUGUAUAUGUAUAAGGUAGUGAUUUUAAGGAAGUGUGAGUGGUGUAAUGGAUUUGAUAAUGUAUGAUGAUUAGUUGAUCAAUCAUUAAAGAGAAGAAAAGUUGGGAAAUUGGAGAUAUUCUUAAGUACAGAAAUUGAGAAGUUAAGUGGUGGAUUUGUAUUGAUUUAAUUGUUAUGUUUUAAUUCAAGAAAUUAUACCUUCAUUUCAGGUAGGGACAUGGAAGCUUGGAAAGGCUUGUCAAUUAAUCAGAUUUUUAUCUAUAGAUCUGUGAGUAAAAAAGCUUAAUAAUUUCAAAGUAUUUAUAAAUUAAGUAUCUUAUUAAAUUAUGUGAAUUAUUUGCUCAAUUAUAUGAUUACCAUGAAAGUUUCUUUUACUAUUUCAAAGAUUGUAUAUGGUGCAUUUGCGAAUUGGAAUAUGAGACAUGAUAUUUAGAUUGACCAGAAAAGUACCUGUGAUUAUAUACUUCUUUUAGUUUAUAGAGGGGUCUUGUCGGGGUUUCAUACAACACUAAGGGGUCAACUGGGGGUGAAAGGGUCGUGCCCAUGUAUAUAUAGUUCACUGAGGAGCCUUGGCCGUGUUCUAGAAUUGAUGUAUCAGAGGUCUUUGAGACCCGCUUUCGUGAAUAUGAGAUGAUAUUUACAGAAUUAUGAGAAUGUCCCCUUUUUGGCUAUAAUUGUAUGAGGCUAUCGUAUGAAUUGCUAAAUGAUAUGAACUUGAUGUCUAUGUAUGAGAAAAAUGUUUAAAUGAGAAAGUAUAAUUAUUUUCCUUCCACUCAUUGAGCUAUAAAAUUAUAUUCUUCCACGAUUUUUCUUACAGGUAGUAUUGGUCCAUGGUAGCUUAAGGAGCCCGAUGGUUUUAGAAUUAGAGCCACAAUACUUAUUGAGUGACAUGAUUCAUUUUGGUAAAACAUGAAGUAAUUAUUUCUGGUUCAUUGCAUUAUAUUUUUCAUAAACAUUUGAUUUUGUUGCAUAUUUUGUAGUAGCUCAUGGUUAGCCUUGGUGAUAGAUCUGGUAUAUAAUCAGUAUCUACCAUUGGUACAUGUCACGUUUUCGGGUCCAUUAGGAUGAUUCGAGACGGAUUGUGUCAGGAAUACUAAGGAAUGGCGUGUAAAAACUGGAGCUACUCAUCUAUAUGUGCAAACCACUAGAUAACAUCUUUGUCGCUCAUGUACAAUGUUGUGUAACCUAAUGUAUUAAAUGCGUUAUCAGAUUCCUUUUUACAUAAUCUGAUGACCAUAUGUGUUUUCCUACAGGCAAGCGCAUGAAGAAUGUUAGGAAAUUGUUGUCAAACGACCUCCUCGGACUGUGAUGUUAACUCAAUUUUAUUUUCAGUGGGCCUAGGCCAAAUGAUUGAACCUUAUAUUGACAUCUCAAAUGGGACGACCUAAACCUAAUUUGUAUGGGCCAUUCGAAACAACCUAAUUUAUUAGUAUUGCUCAUGACCUGUCCCACUUAUUUGGACGGCUAAAUAAUGGUAUCCAUUUGAUAGUCCACUACUGUGUUUGGGCAUUUUGGGCCACUACCUUUGACCUAACUAGCGUACCUUAUUUGGUCUACUCCACUGGUUAAUAUGGUUCGUCUCCUUGGCUGCCUUAUUGUUGCGACUUCAUGUUCUCUUCUUCUUCUUCUCCGUUUACUUUCGAUUGGCUCAUCUCUACUGCCUCUGUUGUUUGUGAUAUUGGCUUUUCCUUUAUGGUCUCUUUGUAGGUAUUUAAGGAUCUGUUUGAUUGCGGAGAUGGAAUUUGGUGGAAAGAAAAUGAAUUCUAGAGAAUCGAAUUACUUAAAAAUUAUGUACUUUUUGUCUAUUGUUGUGUUUACUUCGAAUUCUUGUGUAGUUGGAAAUCUCAACUACAACACAUCGUUGCACUAUCCACGACAGAGGUAGAAUAUAUUGUUAUCACUAAAGCCAUUAAGGAGUCUUGAAUGAUUAUGUGGUAGUAUAUUUCGAUAGUUAGUAUUCUUCCAUACAUCUAUGCAAAAGCUCUGUUUUUUAUGAACCAUCAAGUAUAUUGAUGUUAGAUUACAUUUCAUUAAAAAUACCGUGUCACAAAAAGUGGUAAGACUUGAAAAGAUACAUACACAAUACAAUCCUUCAGACAUGGGUACAAAGGUACUUUCACUGGUAAAGUUUAGAAGUUGCAAGAAUCUUUUAAAUAUUGGUGAAGGUAAUUAAUUUCCAAUUUUAUCAUCUCCUGAUAUUGAAAUUAUUGCUAACAUGUGUUAAUGUUUCUUUGAAGGUCAUUUGACACUAAGGUGGAGGUUUUGUUAGGAAAAUUGUUGUCAAAUGAUCUCCUCGAGCUGUGAUGUCAACUAGAUUUUAUUUUCAGUCACCCUCGACCAAAUGAUUAAAUUUUAUAUCGACACCUCAAAUGGGACGAUCCAAACGUAAUUUGUAUGGGUCAUUCGAAACAACCUAAUUUAUUGGUGUUGCUCAUAGCCCAUCCCAUUUAUUUAAAUAGCUAAAUAAUGGUACCCAUUUGAUAGCCCAUACUCUUGUGUUUGGGCCUUUUGGGCCACUACCUUUGACUGAACCUGCUUACCUUAUUUGGUCGACUCGAUUGAUUAAUGUGGUCCGUCUCCUUUGUUGCCUUAUAGUCAUGACUUAUUGGUACAUUUUCUCUCCUUCUCCGUUCAGUUUCAGUUGGCUCAACUCUUCUACCUUUUUGGUUUAAUUCUUAUGUGAUAUUGAAUUUCCUUUGUGGUUUCUUUGUGGGUAUUCAAAAGCAACUGUGAAUGGAGAAACCAUUUUGGGAGUUUUAGGUUGUUGCUCAUUGUGGUGUAGAUUGGUUGAUGAAUGAUAAGUGUGUUUUUACACACUUAUUUGGUUCGCAAACAUGACUUAAACAUGGAUAAAAUGGUUGAAUUGUGGCUUAAUCCUAUUAAAUUCAUGCAAUGUAGGUAUUUCAAUGGAAAUUGUGGAAUUCAGGAGAAAAGAGCCGGAAAAAGACCAAAAUGCAACAAAGUGAUAGUUCGAGGACCAAAGGUGCAAAUAUUGAGAAGUUGAGCUAAAUGUAAAACGAAGUAAAAACAUGCUAAGUAUGAGCUCAACGACAAAGCAAAACAAUUGGAAGAAGAAAGUAUUGAAGAGGGACUGAAAUGAAGACAAUUGAAAGUUGGAGGACUAGAGCGCAAAUACUCAAAAGAUGUUCCGAAUGAGUGGCAUGAGAUUUGAUGGUGUCAAUCAUCAAUUGGAAGAUAAAAUUUUUUGAAAAGAUGAAGAAAUCGAAGAAAGAAGUCAAGAGAAGCAACAAGGAAGUUCAGGGACCAAAAUGUAAAAACCACAUAGUUGGUUAUAUCUAUGCGACCGCAUAGUAUAACCAUCUAUGCGGUCACAUAGAUGGAUGUAGGGAAAUUAAUUGGGCAUUUCAAAUGACCUAUGCGACCGCAUAGGUUUCUUCUAUGCGGUCGCAUAGAAGAAAUUUUGGGGGAUUUUCUGCAGUUUCCUUUUUCGACUCCAACUCCUUUCUUAUCUAAUUUGGACACGCUAUAUAUACCCUAAAACACGUCCAGAACUAGGGUAGACAUUUUUGGGAGAAAAGAGGCACACAAGAACAUCAAGAUCCAAGAAUUUAUGCAAGAAGAAGGAGGAUUUCAUCAAGAUUGAAGAUUUCAAGCAACAAUUAUAAUAGGGUGAUGUCUUCUCCUUUAUUGAAUCUUUGUAAUUUUCUUCAAAAUAUGAUAGGCUAGGGUUUUUGUUCAUUAGGAAUUUGAUGAACCUUUUGAUGAUUUAAAUUUCCAUUAUUUCAUUAAUUCAACAAUAGUUUCGAUUGGACAAAUGUUUGAUUUAUAUGAUUUGAAUGCUUCCAUAAUUAUUUGGCCAAUUGUUAUGUGAUUGUAGAUGAUUUGUUCUUUGCAUUCGAAAGAAGGGGAAUAAAUUCUAUAGAAUAUAAAUUGACAUAGGGUCCGAUAGAGGAUGGAAACUUACCUCUAUGCUCUAUGCAAUUCAUGAAGAUGUUCAUAAAAAGUCAUGCAUUCUUGUACAUUGCAUCAUCCAUAGAAAUAUAGGCUGGUGGUGUGUAAGAGUAGAUUCAAUAUAUAUCGAGAGAGUGUAUUGAAUAAUUUAGGAACAUUGAAUUGGCAUUUUGUUCCAUCGAUUCGUUGAAUUUGUGAAAUUAGGGUUUUUAAUAGUGAAUUGGGGAUUCGAGUUCUUAAUGAUUUCAUUUCGAUUCAUUUCAAUACAUUAGUUCUAAAAUUGCAUAUUUACAUUUCAGUUGCGUGUUUAUUUCAUUCGAUUAGUGAAAUUUUGAAAUUACGAUUUCCAAUUGUGAAAUUAGGGUUUUUUUUGCAAUUAGGGUUUCAAAUUGGGGAUUUCUUCCAAAAUUAGGGUUUUUCACAUUUAAACCAAAUUUUCAUUCAAUUAGAUUCGGUUAAGGUCACAUUAGUCUAAUUAGAGCUAAUUCAAUCCUCGUGGGAACGAUACUUAGACUCAUAGUCCAUUUUACUACUUGUUAACGAACCGUACACUUGCGGUGGGUUUUAAAAUCGAAAAUAAAUAUUUCGUCAACAAUGAACUGUGCCCGACAAUGCCUUGGCCGUAGUGUUUUCUCUCUACAAAGAACAGAAUCGACAUCUAGACCCUGAAAACUCUAUGGGCAAGUGGACUUUAGUUGAGGAAGACGUACUUGGAGACAAAAUUGAAUCUACGUGGUAAAAUUCAAGGACUCGAAGGAUGGAGAAUGUGUUGUCAAGAUCAUCAUUGAGUAUCAUGCCAAGGAUAACGUUGUUCUAAAAGAGGAGGAUAUUAAUAAAAUCAAGGAACAAUCGUUUUGGAUUCUACAAGUCUUAUGCAGAUCAUCUGAAUGUGAAUCCUCGUGUUUGUGACUAAAGAUUUUCAUUAAAGAUUUUUUUUUCCAACCACUAUAAGUUACAUAUUUAUUAAUAUCAAAGAUAAAAUAUAGUAUAUACUUAUUAGAAGGAGGCUCAACGUAACCUUCUAGCUAAAGUUGAAAAAAUAAUUAAACUCUUCCAUCUUGAAACAAGGCCUACAAUAUAAGAUUUAAAGAAAGUACAAUAUAUUCCCUCUAGUCAAACUUUUCGUCAUUAUUGUUACAUUUGAACUCGCUACUUGAUGUUUGUUAUUUUUUCACUGUCAUCAAAACUUCCAAUACUAAUUGAAAAAUUAAUUUCGACUUUUCUAUGCUGAGUAAUAUAAUAAAUAUUUUGAGUUAGCUAAGGCAAAGCUGAGGCACUUGUGUUAGAUUUUAUUUGUCAUGUGGGCCUACACAUAUAAUUAAUUGAGAAAAUUACACUAGUUACCUGUUUAAAAUUAAAUAUUUAUAUGUACUAAUCACUUUUCUAUUUUCCAUUUAUACUGUAAUUUAAUAAUAUAACUAAAAAUCAUCAAAUCACUUAACUCCUUAUAAUAAUUCAAUAAAUUACUGACCUUACUCUAUCAUCAUUGAAUCUGAAUUAAUUAUCUCAAAUACCCAAACCACUCCCACAAAUUAAGCUCUGUAUUAGGUCAUUUCCAAAUCGAGACUGACGCAACUAUUUUUCGCUUUCCUUUUUGUUCCUUAAAUAUCUAAAAUUCUUUCCUCGUUUGUCCCCUCUAACAGCCACUUUGCUCUAAUUAUUGCCGUAAAGCCCUUUUCCUACAUGCAUAAACCUAUACAUACAGACCCCUACAUACGUCUCUUUAAUUGUCAAUGAUGGCUCUUAGCUCUUUUCUCCCUUCCUGAGAUAAUCUCUUUGAUUCUUGACGUGGAAAUGAUAUGUCAGUUCAAUUUUUUGGAGCAUAGAUGUGCAUUUCAUUAAAUCAUUAAAAUUAUGCUUAGACCCUUUUCAUUUUCUCUUUCUUUCUGGAAAAUUGAAGCAGGUUUUUUAUUGAAAAUAUUCCUAAUUGGACUUAUUAUACAUUUUUAUUCUUUUGGGGCAUGUGGGUUUGUUUGUUUCUAUUUUUAGGUGGCGAACAAGGAAAUAUGGGACCUUAUGAAUCAAAUGGAUGAUACUAGAUAAUGAAAUUAUCCUUAGGUUGUUGUAUUAUAUUGAAGAAGGGUAGUCAAAAAGGGCCUUGAUUGAUGCUAUUGUUGGUGCAAUUUCUGGUACUGUUUCAAGGGCCGAAGUAAUUAUGAUUAGAUUUUAGAUCAUUCUUCAUCUCUUAGUCCUCGUUCAUCCCCCUCCUAGUUCUUAAUCUAUCAUUCUUAAUUAAAACCCAUUGUUAUCUGUUGGAAAUAAUACUGUGAUUGAGGAUAUUACUCCUCAAUCAUAAUCUUCCCAUAGCAUGCCAAUGCCAAUCACGUAAUUGAAGGAGGUUAAUUUACACGGUUUUCAUUUCAUUUACACAGUUUCCAUUUUAUUGUAAAUUAUUGAUUUGUAUUCCAUUUAUACUAUCUUGUAAAGCUCUAUAUAAUGCAAUACGAUACACCACUGAAAUUAAGGUGGAUUUUAAUCAUUCUUAUAGUAUCAGAGCGGAGAUGAUCUUGAAAGAAAUUACUGGUAAAUUCACCACCGCCGUCACUUUGGAAAAUUUUAAUUCGAGUGGAGUAUUGAUUUUCCACAAAUUUUUGAAAUUGAAUAAAAACAUUAUAAAAAUCAAAUUUCAAUUUUAAAGAUAGAGCCACGUGAAACGAGAAUAGUCAUCGAUAAAAAUGACAUAAUAGACAAAUCCUAAAUUAGAUUUGACUGGAGACGGACCCCAAAUGUCGCAAUGGAUAAGAUCAAGUGUUUUUGAUGACCUAUGUUAAUUUUGAGAAUAAGGCAAGCGAUGACUUUUAGCAAUUUGACAUGUGCCACAUAAAGUUGGAAAAGGCAACAAAGAUGUAAGAUAAAGCUAGCCUUUUUUAUUCAAUAGAGAAAUAACAGAAUGAUUGACAUGUCCAAGUCGUGCAUGCCAUAAAUUAUAGGACGCAUGAAGCGAUUUAUUUUUAAGAACAGAAAUAAAAGUAGAAUGACUUCGCUCAAGCACAUAUAAACCUCCAUCACGCUUGCCGGUUGCCACCACCCUUCCUGUUUUGCGAUUCUGUACAGUGAAUAUGUUAUUAUUAAAGGUAACGAAUAAAGGAAAAUCUGAUGUUAAUUUACUGAUGGAAAGUAAAUUCUUGGUAAGGCAAGAUACAGCUAGGACAUCAAGAAGAUGUAGAUUUGGGGUAGGGAAAAUUUUACUAGUAUGGGUAAUGGGUAGUGAGGCACCAUUCCCAACAACCACACAAUCCUUACCCAUGUAAUUUGUGGCCUGAUCCAAUUUAGAGUGAUUCAUGGUCAUAUGGGCUGAAGCCCCUAUAUCCAAAUACCAGUCAGAGCCCACAUCGUCAUUUAGAGAACAAGAUCUCGUGAAGGCUUCAGCAAGGUGAGCUGGUGUCUCAUUCCGAUCAUAGCGUUGAAGGCACCGAUCGGCAAAGUGGCCAUCCAUCCUGCAAAUCUGGCAUCUUGGUGGACGAUGCCAUUGGCUGUAGUUGGAGCGCCCUUGUCCAUGACCAGAUGAACUGAUGCCACGCCCACCGAAGCGACCCUGAUGACUACGAGAAGAGUCACCACGAUGGGUGGAAUUUUUUGUGACAGUAAAGGCUGUCGCUGCUGGAGAAGAUGAGUCAAGGGAUUUCUGAAAAAUUUCAAAACUUUCGGCCUGUAAUAACUCGUUCUCUAUUUGAUUUGUAUGUAAUGCAUGUUUGGUUUGGAUUAAAAUCUAAUUUUAAUCUAAGUUAAAGUUAUAUAAUCAAUAUUAACUACAUCUUUCAUGGAUCUCACAACUUUUCAACCAUGCAUUUCAAAAUUUUUUAUCACCAUCUACUAAAAAAAUCUAAUUUUAAUCCUCACUAAAUAUACUCUAUAUUUGUAUUAUUAUUUUUUUAUUUUUUUCAAUUCACAUAUGUAUUACAUUUUUCUCGAUAAAACCCAACUUAUAUACAUUGGUGAAUAACAUAGAAUGCUAAAUAGAAGAGUAAAUCGAACCUGCCAUACCUUAUUUAUUUAUUUUUUUAAAGCAUGUCACCAUCAUGCCCCAUUCAUUGUAAAUAUGGAAUUGGACUCUUUGUGGGCACCAGUGUACAUGUAAGCUCUUGUUCCCUGGCCCGUCGAGGUAUAUUCUGCGAUUUACCUUCAUCACGAUACUCUAGCGGCGAGGCAGUGGGGGCCCUCAAGGUUGGGGAUUAACCUUUUUUUUUUGGUAUUGUUUUUCAUUUUGUAUGUGCAACUUAACAGAUAUAGAUUACAGAUGAUACAGUCAUGAACCUCUAAGUACUUGAAAUUGUACUACAUUUCUUCAAUUCUUUAUACUAAUAGCUUGUAACAUGUAGUGUAACAUAAUAGCGGACCCAAAAUUUUUGGAUUUUUCCCCUCAAGGUUGGCGUUCAACCUUUUUUUUUUUGGUAUUGUUUUUCAUUUUGUAUGUGCAACUUAACAGAUAUAGAUUACAGAUGAUACAGUCAUGAAGCUCCAAGUACUUGAAAUUGUACUACAUUUCUUCAAUUCUUUAUACUAAUAGCUUGUAACAUGUAGUGUAACAAAAUGGCUGACCCAAAACUUUUAGAUUUUUCCCCAGAAAAUAGUUGUUUUGACAUAUUUACGACCUACUUUUUUGCAUUUAUUACAAGAUGUCAAAUGAAAUCGAAAUUUACCUUCUUAAUACCAAUUUUAAGUGCUCAUGGCCAAGUUUUUUGCUCGUUAAUGGCCUGUAAAUCGACUAACCGUAGUAAAAAUUACGACGCAUCAAAGUAGGCCGUUCCAAAUUAGUAUUUCAAGGAUUUUGAUAAUAUAUUAACUUUCAAAAUUCGUCGAUAAUUGUAUACUAUUUGAAUCCACAAAUCGUCUACAUCAAAUGGAUGCUCAUUUCGAGAACUAUAUCGUAGUCAUAUCGAAUUGUUCAAACGAAUAUUGAAAAUAAUUAAAUAUACAUCAAAUGUACAUCUUAAAAAAGAAGUCUAACUCAUAUUUUCUUUUAAAAAAUUUCAAUUAAUUUAUCAACGUUUAUUAGUUUUACACGAUAUAUUUUUCAAUAUAAUUUACAUAAUUUUAUUAGGAUAUUUUAUAUGGAAUAUGACAUUAAAAAUCUUAGGAACGUUACAAAUUAAGUGUAAUUUGAAUUACUUUCGAAAUAAAUUUAAAUUUCAUUUUCUUCUUAUAUUAAAUGUGAAUUUUAUUUCAUUUCAUUUACUUCCUUUAUUUAAUUUGAUUUACUCAUAUUCAACUCAACAUCUAUCAAUGAAAUGGUAAACAAGACUAUAAAAGAAGCACAAUCCAUUUUACACUAUUGAUAAUAAUAUAAUUAUAAGACUUUCAAAGUAUCAAAAUGCCCAUUAAUUUAUUUUCAUUAAUAAUAUAUUGUUUUUUUCCCCUUAAAAAUACACUUUAAUUUUUGACCCACAACACAAAAAAUCUGGUUCUGCCCCUGGAGUAACAUACCAAAGAUUAUGUCUAUUCUUUUUUGUGAAAAAAAUGUAAUCUAUUUUUAAUCAUGCAAUAUUAAUUAGGUUCGUUAAAUUAUCAUAGUCUUGUAAUUUGGUGAUACGCAUUUUUAUGAUUUUACCUUUAAAAAACUCGUCUUGGUGAAUUGCAUAGAAUAUUGAAGAGAUGGGUUAAUUGAACCUGCCAUACCUUAUUUUCUAUAUUGCAUGUCAUCCUCAAGUUUACAUAUUUUUCUAUUGCACACCAUAUAAAAUACAAUGUAACAUAUCAAACUAUUAUAUCUAUUCCUCGUGUUUGAAUCCAAUCAUGCAGUCAUUUAGGUGUACGUGCUACAUUCCACAGGAAUGUUAUUCGGUGUUAUAGAUUUUUAUGUCCUCGUAAGUUUACAUUAUGAGUUUAUCGUAAAUAUUCACGGACUAUUGUUUUAACUAAAAGAAAGCAAUAUUGUAGUUGUUCAAAACCUUUCAAAAGGGAAAGACAUAGUGAAAACAGUAGCCAUUUCAAUGCCUCGAAGGUCUCAUGUUUCAAGAUACCAGCAGACAAUGCCUACGGCAUCCACUCUGCAAAGUAAUGCGAUACCAACUCUGCAGCAACAAUCUAUUCUGCCUCAAGGGUAAAUAUGAAUUAUGUAUCCCUUACUUCUUAGAAUGUUCUUUUUAUUUUAACUUAGCACCUCAAUUUUACAAGCUUGAUUCAACAUGGAAAUUCCUUCUUACUUGACUCGAAGACAAAAGAUGAAAGUAACACAAGGAACUUUAGUCGGAGUUCCACACCGCGAAAAGAGACAAAACUUGACAAGCAAUGUAAGAAGGCCUGUUACCAUUGCAAAAAAAUAACACUCAUGUACAGAAGAUUUGCAGUAGGAACAACCUUGCAUAAUUGAUUCUCAUCACAAGUGGCCUUGUCUUUUUGUUCAAUUACUUAUUAAAUUUACAAAACUACUCUCCAAAUGGUAAAGGAAAUGGGGACGUGUUGGUUAAUGAUAGAGAGGGUAUUUUGGUAAAUAGUGGAUGGCAAAUCGGUGUAUUUCAUGAAUAUCGUCAAAGCUCAUUGGCCCCAUUCUCGACAAAUUAUUGGGGAUGGGGGUGUCAUGGAAAGCGUCAAAUUGAUUGGCAAAUUGAUUGAUCGCUGAACAAGCUCUCAACGAAAUUACAAGGAUCCAUAAGUGUACUAUGUAAUAGAAAUACAGAAUGACAGGAAUUAAGAUUGUAAUGUAGAGAACAAAGAUGAAAUGUAUAAAUUCGAUAAUGUAUUGUGUAGAGAAUGAAUUGAGAAAAUGUAUUUAAUAGAUAAUCAUUAGCAAUACUUCAUCAUUGAAAGUGUUAUUUCGUCAAUCACAUAAUUCAAAUGGAAGCUUGACCCUCUAAAUAAUCUGAAAAACUAGGAAAGCCAACAAAUUAGAAAUUUCAAAUUAAUAAAAAGUGUUUCCUCAUUUAUCUUAACAAAGAAUAUUAUUUUCUGGACUCAUAUCUUUUCAUUUCAGCACUAAAGAAUAAGAGAGAUAUUUAUGACUAUUCCAUGAUAUCCUUUUCUUGACCCAAAUUCUAUGUUUGGAAGUUAUCUUUUAAGGUCUCCGUUGUCUAUAAUUGGUAGGUGAAAAUUGACUAAGAAACUGAAAUUAUGGAACACCAUUGCGCAUCCUUGACAAUCGAGUAGGAGAAGUUCAUCAUAAUAACAUAUUUGGAUAAGCUUAAAAAAUUUACGUACUCGGCUAAGCUUAAAAAUAUUUACUUAUACGUAAAUAUGUAAUUUUCAGCCUAGUGAAAUUUUGGUAAAAGUUGAAAUAUAGUUGCUGAAUAAAAGUUAUUUUUGAGAAGUAUAAUUUUUAAAACUGAGAUAGUUAAAUUUUUAUGGUAAAAGUUGAAAGCUAUUUGCCAAAUAAAAGUUAUUUUUGAGAAGUAUAAUUUUUAAAACUGAGUUAUCCAUGCUCAUUUGAAUAAAUAUCCUCACUUAAAAAGCAUUUUUGGCUAAGUUAGAAGAAUAAUGCCCUUGUACACUGUGCUUUAUAGCUCGGCGUACACUCCCCUCAUAUGAGGGGAGGGGCCCAUGCCCAUUUAAUGCUCGGAUUUCGUCUCCCAUGUGAGGAGGCUGUACUAGCAUGGCCGAAGUUAGAAAGGUUACUUAUAAUUCAAUAAAUAAGUUUUUUUUAGAAUAAUUAACAUUUUGACGGGUAAAAUUUGAAAAAGAGUUCGUAUUAAGUAAAAGUUAUAUUCUGAAAAAGUAAUACUUAUUUAAAAUCGAGUUAUCUGUACAUAUUUGAACACCUAACCUCACUCCAAAAAAAUAAAAAAAUAAAAAAAAAUUCUUUAAGGGCCUAUUUGAUAGGCAUGAUUUUCCAAUUCAAAUUCCAACUUUCACUUUUUGGAUAUUUGAUAGGUUUAUUUUUUUUUUUUUCAAUGAAAUUGAUUUUGACUCAUUUUAUUUUAUUUUUAAUGAAUGAAGCAAGAUAAUUGCAAGAUGAAAUAAAUCAACCACAAAUCAGACCACCAAGAUUUUAUGUGGAAACCCUAAAUGGGAAAAUAUUACGGGCAAAAGAAGGAAUUCACUAUAUCAAAAUCAAGAUCAAUGAUUGUUGAAUAAGAUUUGUUGCAAAUCAAGAUCAAUGAUUGUUGGAUAAGAUUUGAUGCACUCAACCAAAUCCAAUGUGUUUGUGGAGAAUGGGUAUCACAAAACGUGCCAAAAUCGAAAAUAAGCCAUGGUCGAAUAAGAUGGUCGCAUGAUCAGUGUGCCUCGCAUGUAGUGAGCAGCCUCACUAGCUCACGAGCAUUAUGCUCAUGCCAGACUCCGUUUUUUGGGCGUACGAAUGGAAACUGGAUGUUCAACGAGCAUAAAUGCGCCGAUUUUUUCUUCUUGGUUUGUAUUUGAACUUCUUCAAGACACCUUCAACGAACCACCAAUUCCCUUUUAACCAAAACACCAAUUUUCAAUGGAAUUUGGCACAUAAUUCAACAAAUUUAUACCAAACUAAGCUUAAUAUAUAGUUCAAAAAUUCAAUAAUAUAAGAGGUUGUUGGGGUUUGAGGGAAUGUUUUUGUUAAUGUUAGGGGGGAAAACCGGAUUUUUAGAGGGUGGAGAUCGAUUGUUAAGUUGUAUAUAGGGGCGGAUCCAUGAACUGCACCCAUUGGAAUCUUCAUUUUUUAAUAUUUACAAAGUAGUCCACAUAAUUUUUAGUCCAUAAUUUUAACCCAUAAUUUUUACAUAAUUCUAUUUUGCUCUCACUAAAUUAUAUUUCUGGGUUCGCCCCUAGUUGUAUAGGACAAAAACCAGGUUAUUAAAAUGAAUUUUUUUUUUUUUUUUGUAUGUAAAUGGUGAGUACACAUGCAUAUCAGCUGUGCAUACUAAUCGCUCUGUCCAAUUAAAAAGUGAAUUUUUUUGUAAGGUUUAAUUCAGUUUUCUGACAAAAUGGUAGGAUGUGGUACAAUUUUAUAAGAAUUUCCGUUGAUGUUAAAAAAGGUUAAACCCUAACCUUAAGGGUCCUCCACCACUCCUGCCCUGGAGUAUCGUAAGGGAGGUAAAUCGCAGGUUAUGCCUCCAAGGGUACAUGUUGGAAGACUGUUUGUACACUUGCACUUACCCAAGAGCUAAAUUCAUAUUUCAGGAUUCGAACUCUUGACGCAGUAGCCUCAAGCAAAACUAGAUUUCUCCACCUUCCCCUUUUACCACUUGAAAUGUGCCCUAGGGGGCGAAUUUCCGUUGAUGUUGAACACAUGGAUAGAACUUUAACAAGAUAAGGCAGUAAAUAAGAAAAAUACUUAAAAGUAUAUGUUAAAAAAAUACACAAAUAUGUGGUGUAACAAAAGAUUUCCAUGGUGGCAAUAUAGUCUUUCAUAGGUAAAACGAUCUAAGGCGAGGUUUAAAUAGGUUUUUAUAAAAUUCCAAUUUCUUUUGCCAAACGUUAUACAUUUCGAUUUAAGCGAAUUCUUAAAUAGUUGACGUUGUUUGACCAGUUAAACAACCGCAAUAAAACAUGUAUUAAACCAAAACUAAGUAAGACCAGAAACAACGAAUUUAACAUCGUAAACCUGCUCUUACAGACUAAAAAUUCCAGUACAAAAAUAAUAAUAAUAAAAUACAGUCAUUUUAAAUUUUUGAAACUAAUAUAAUUAUUGACAACGAAGAAACUAAAGCAAAGAAAAUACUAUGAAUUAAGAAAUAACAAAAAUACCCUUCCCUAUAUCAGUUUUUCCAAUUCUUUCACGUGGAAUUAAGGCCAUGUUUGAUAGAGGUUAAAUUCUAUGGAAAAUGGAAGUCAUUUUCCAACUUACACUUUUUAUGGUGUUUGAUAGAUUUUUUUCUAGGGAAAUCAUUUUCCAUCUUUCUUGCCACCUCACCCAAAUUCCGUCUUUUGAAAAUCAAUUCCCACCAAAUAUUGGUGGGAAUUGAAUUUCCCGGUUACUGUUGACAUUUUUUUUUUCGUAUUUUUUUUUUUUUGAAAAUGAAAACAAAUUAUAUUCAUAAUUGUUAAAAAAUAUUUACAUUUAAUUGACAAUUUUCAUAUAAAACAAAAUCAAACAAAUACUAAAAGAUAGAUGAUUUUUUUGAUUUUUUUUUUUUUGGGCAAUAGAAAGAAAUUCUAUCCCCAAUACCAAUCAAUUCUAUCCAUUUAUUUGACAAUUUUCAUGUAAAGUAAAGCCAAACAAACACCAAAAAAUACUUUUAUUUUAACAUUUUUCACGUUGAAAAUUAUAUCAAUCAAACACAAUAAUUUACAAUUUCCAACAAAAUAAUUUCUAAGCAAUUUAAUUUCCUGAAAUUCGUUUUCUUUAUACCCAAAUUCCAUUCUUACAAUCAAACAGACUAAGUAUCCAAAUUUUUGUUCCACAAACUGGAAUUAAUUGUUUCAAUGUUCACUAAACUUAAGCCCCUGUCUUUAAUUGGUCACUAUAUUUUAAAAUAUCGAGUUUUGGUCGCUAAACUUACCAUGUAUUUGAUUGCUCAAUAAAAUUUAAAAUAUCGAAUUUUGGGCAUCAAACUUUGAAAAAUGUUUUACAUUACUUAUUGUAAAUUUGACAUUUUUUUAAAGUUUAACAUUUACGUUAGUAAUUAACGUACAAAAUUUUCUAAAGUUUAAUGAUCAAAACUCAAUAUUUUAUACUUUAGUGAGCAAUCGAAGACAUGAACUUAAGUUCAGUGAUCAAAAUUCGAUAUUUUAAAUUUCAAUGACCAUUGGAAUAAUUAAUUUGCAAAACUGAUUUCAUCCUGACCUUUUUCCAAUUUGUCGUUUUACAAUGAAAGUAGAGGUUAUUUUUAUUUUUGCGCAUCCUCUUUCUCGACCCAAAUACUUCGUAUGAAGCUACUUUUAUAAGUUCCUGAUUAUCUAGAAUCACUUUAUGACUAUUGGCUAGGAAAAACUGAAAUCGUGGAAAGUCGUAGCUUAUCUUUGAAAAUUGAUUAGGAGAAACUGACAAGAAAACAACAUAAUUGGUAUGUUUGGUUGAGAUGAAAAAAAAAAGUUCGCUUGUAAGUAAAUGAUUAGGUUUAAAAUAACUUUCUUUUUAUUUAAAAAUAUGUUAAAUGAAAAGUUUGGAGAUAAAAGUGACUUUAACUUUUUUAAGCUUAGGUAAUCAUAAUAUUAUAUUUAGUAAAACACGUUAUGUAUUUCUUACUUUUAAGUAGGGUUGGGCAAAACUCCCGAACCAAAUCGAAUUGAACCAAACCCGAUGAUUCUUUUCAAGUUAAAUACCCAAAUGGGUAUCUGAAUCAAAAAGCGACGAGUACGAUUUGGUUCUCGAUUCUAGAUCAAGAAUUGAAGAAUCGAAUGAGAACCGAAUCUUCCUAAUUUUAUUUUAUUUUUAUUGAAUAAAUCAAAUUAUUUUAAUUUUCCUAAGCAAAUUGACUAAUUAGGUGAUUGAUUGAUACUCUAUCUCCCAAGCUUUAGCCUAGCUGGUUUGACCCAACCCAACCAAUUUUUAAAUCCAAUUUUUGAGCCCAAUUAUUUAUUUCAUUUCUAUUUUUUUAAUUUUUAGCCCAAGUGCCCAACAUCAAACCCUUUUUAUUUGUCCAUUUCUUAGCCCAACAUCAAACCCUUUUUAUUCUUUCAUUUCUUAUUAAAUCAUAUUAGUUGAACAAUUUUUAGUUUAUUUACGUUUGUUAAUUGUGCUUUUUCAAUUUUUCUGUAGAGAUUCUUCGUAUGGCAAGUCAAGCAAUUGAUGAUUAAAUCAAAUAGUUGGUAAGUAUUAGUAAUACUUAAAAAUAUUUUAUCUCUAUGACUUCUACUUCAAGAAAUUUUUUUAUUUAUACUUAAAGGCUGAAGCAAAUGAAUUAUUGAUAUUGAUCGUCAAUAUUUUAGUAUUAGUAUCUACUUUUUGGUAUUUGUAUAUGUUGGUAAAUUAAUCUUAUUAGACAACUUGUUAUUUAUAUGUUUUUAAUUGGACUUAGUUAAUUUGUAAAAGCUGUGAUUGAAUAUGUUAUUAAUUGUAUUUAUGUAGUGUUGUUGUAAAUGUUAAAAAAUGUAAUCACGAUACAGAACCGAACCAGAUCGAACCAAACCGAACGAAAAUGAACCUGAACGAUUUCAUAAUCAUAUUUGGACCUGAUGGUUCCACUUACUAAAUACCCGAAAUUUUUGUUCAGUGAACUGGACCGUGCCCUGCCCUACUUUUAAGUAAAAAAAUUUAAAUUUAUUUUUUACUUUAUUCAAAAUAAGUAACUUAGCCUCUAUUUUUUUUUUGAAAAAAAAAAUCAUUUAUAAAGAGGAAUAAUAAUGAAUAUCACUAAAUGUCAGGAUAAUAAAUGAGUAACAAUUAUAAAUAUGUGAUUGAAAUUAAUGUUUGAUUUUGACUUAAUUAAUAAAUUGACUGCAAAAUGGAGGUGAUAAAACAUUACGUAUUUCAUAAGGUACUUAUUAUGUAUAAGUAAAUUACAUAAGCAUAAAAUUAUAUGCUCAGCCAAAAAUAAAUAAUAGAAACCGGCAAGAAACAAUGGCUGCGAAUUUUUUGUCGUUUACAAUUGGAACAAAUCUUAUCAUCUUUUAUAAAUCAUAUACCUUUGCAAAAGAGAAGUAAUUGACGAGAAAUCCACAACUUAAUGUCAAUAGUCCCAUUAUGAAUUGGAAUCCAAUCACACAGGCUGUGUAUUUAUUUUAAAAAAAAAAAUACCAAAAUAAAUUCAGCAACUUCAUAAUGAAAAGAUUCGAAACUGACUCCAGUUUUUGGUAUUCAGAUAUAUUCAGAUCAAAUAAGCUGUGUUAUUAUUUUACUUCAAUAUAUAGAAUUUCUUGUGGUAUCAUUCAACUAGUAAAUAUUCAAUCUGUAUUCUGGAAGCUGUAAAAAUUGGACUAUGUUUGAUUUAGAAAAAGCUGAAACGCAUCUGUCAGAAAUUCUAAUCUUUAUCUUAUUCAUGGCCUUUGAAUUAAACGCAAAAGAAUGCAUAGAUUACGGAAACGGAAUAGACAGUCAAUAAUGGCGUGUUAAAAUAAUGAAUAUUAAGCUUCAGAAUAGUAAUAUGAAAAUGACGUUAUCCACACCACCGCACCUAUAAAUUCCCUCUUACAAUUCAGUUUUCUACCAAGCUCUCAAUUUAUAUUCACGUCAUUUUUCUUCCUAGGUUACACUAUUAACGAAAAACAUGGGUAUCUCUAAGUUUUUCCAUGAAAUCAAAGCUAAGGCUUCUCACAAGAGGAUGUUCAAGGCUGUGAUGAUUGAAAACGCCGACAUUUUGCCGAAAGCCUCUCCACACAUCAAGAAAAUCGAGACAAUUCAAGGCAAUGGUGGUGUUGGAAGCAUCAAGAAGACAACUUUCAGUGAUGGUUAGUCUACUAAACAACAUCACGUAAAAAGAGAGGAUAACGCUAUCUUUAAUCCUGUCCAACAUUAUCAAUAUAGCAUUUUAAAUAUGUGAUGAGUAUCUUAUUACAAAAAUUUUAAAAAUAAUAAUAACAAUAAAAUAUAAAAAAUUCUUAGGGAGAGACAAUAUAACGUCGUCGUUGCUGAUGUACAAUGUUGUGUAAUCUAGCAUACUAAAUGUGUCAUUCUUUUUUACAUAAUCUAAUGAGCAUAUAUGUUUUCUCAUAGGCAAGUACAUGAAGAACAAGAUCGACCAUCUGGACACCGCAAACGGCGUGGCUAAGUUGACUUUAUUUGAGGGUGACGUACUUGGAGACAAAAUUGAAUCUAUUAGCUACGAGGUCAAAUUUGAGGACUCAAAGGAUGGAGAAUGUGUUGUCAAGAUCACCACUGAGUAUCAUACCAAGGGUGAUGUUGUACUAAAAGAAGAGGAUGUUAAGGCAAGCAAGGAACAAUCUUUUGAACUCUACAAGGCUUAUGCAGAUUACCUAAAUGCCAAUCCUCAUGUUUGUGCCUAAAUGUUUUCCAAUUAUGUCUUGACGUUGUGAUGUAUAAUGGAAACACACAUGUUUCCCUAUUUCUGUAUUUCAGUAUAAGUGGUGUUUUUGCCUUAAUAAAGAACUUUGUUCUACUUUCCA